rnacentral:lncRNA from 1 species
CUAUAGUAUCGGAAUUUCGAUACUAUAGUUUGUUUUCAAUCUUAGAAUGUUGAAAUCAACGAUCAAAAUCGUUAAAACUAAUAUAGAAUAUUUAAAGUUUUUAGGAAUAAAUUUUUUUUUUUGACAUAGUUUAUUUUAUGAUCAAAUUAGUUAAAAGUUAUCAAUAUUUAAUGGCUAACAUGACGAAUUUAUAUAUAGUUUAACGGUAUAGAAGAAUGUAAAUUUAUUCGAUGAAAAAUAUUUUAAACCAUCUAGAUUAAGAUCAGCAUUCUUGAUCAUGAAUUCAAAUGUACUAUCCUCAAAUUUUAAAUGAUGUCAAAAAAAUAAAAUUUUAUUUUUAAGAAUUUUAUAAUCCUAAAUCAUAUUUAAUGAUGUGAAUUGUUGAUUUGAAUACCCUAAAAUCGAAAACAAAAUUAUAGUAUAGAAGCUCUGGUACUAUAGAUAGUAUAUUAUCCUUGUUCUUCCAUAGCAAUGUUCGUAUAUGAUCCAACCAAUGAGUGUGGGCAAUUUUUUUCCGUAGUUGAAGAAUCAUCUUAGGUUAUUGGGUUAAUUUCAUUUGUACCCUUACAAAAUUAUGAAAUAUCACGAAUAUUCUUCGAAUUUUUAAAAUUUUACAAAUGCCCCUCUAAAUAUAAUAUUUUUUCAUAAAUACCAUCCCUGUUAAUUUUUUCUGCCUUCCGUCAAUUUAGUAUUUUUUGUCAUUUUACUUUAAAAUAUGAAAUUACCUUUUUACCCUUAAUUUGUUUCCUAUAUGUUUAUGGGUUAAUUUCAUCGGUACCUCUCUAAAUUUCAAAAAUAUCUUAAAUGUCCCUAUAAAUUUGGUUAUAUCAUAACUUCUAAAUACAUACUUUCUUUCAAAAACAUCCUCGCUGUUAUAACUCCGUCACUUCAAGUCAUAUUAAAUUUAGUUAGAUGGCGGUCUAACACUGGUUAAAAUUUGAAAUGUUUAUUUUGCCCAUAAGUUGAGAAAUUUUUGAACGGUACAUUAAUUUUAUGAUUUACUAUUUAACCCCUAACUUUUAUUCAUUAUUUGUUUAACAUUUAGACUAACAUUAUUCGCUGAUAUUCUUUAAUACUACUUAGCUCCUAAUUUUUUUUAAUUAUUUAUUUUAGUUAGUUAUAUUUAAAAUUUCAUUUAACUUAGAUUGCUCUGUUAGCUAUUACUUAUUAUAUAUUUUUUUAUUUUAACUUCUACAAAAUAAUUAAAAUUAUUAAAUUUGUUGGAAUCAUCAAUGGAUUGAUAAAAUCUGUAAUUUAAUUAACAAAAAUCAAUCUAAUUUCAAGGAACCAAAUAUUAAGAAAACUUUGAUCAAAAAAAUUAAAUUAAGGGGCUAUUUCAUAAUGUAUAAUAGUUAAGGAAAUCUCUAUAUAUUAAUCUUAGAAAACUUGUGAGGGUAUUGAUGAAAAUGUAUUGAGGGUAAAUUCGGUAUUUUGAAUUUAUUAUACCUAAACAUAACGAGCAAUAGUUACGAGGGCAUUUUUGAAAAUUUUUAUGCUUUUUUGAGGGCAAAUAUGAAAUUUUAAAAUUUUAAAGGGUAUUUAUGAUAUUAGAUCUAUUUGGAAGGGUAGUGAGGAAAUUUUCCGUUUGUGUGGUUACUGAAAAAAGAGGAAACUGAAUGUACUCUUGUCUCUCUUUCUUUCGAAAAAUUUCAUCACCUAAAACAUUUGACGGAAACUGAUCGUCCCUGGUAUAAUGUUAAAGAAUUUGAUGAUUAAUAUGUAAAGUCUCAAAUUCAAAAUCUAAUUAUUUAUAUUUUUUGCUAAAUUUAGUUUUUUAAAUAAAAUAAUUGAAACAGGUAGCAUGCUAUAUUUUUUUUUAAAAAAAAUCUGAUGGAAACAAAUUUCUUAAAAAACCUUUCUCAAACUUGCUAAAUUUGAUAUUUGCUCGUGGACCGCAAACUUGCAAUUUUUGUCGGAGUGUGUGGCUUAGUUUGAUCUUAUUUAAAUAUCUUCAAACUGAAUGUGAGGUUAAUAUAAAUGUAAGGAUAAAUUUCAAAUACUAUCUCUGUGGUUUCGCACUUUCUAACUUUAAUACCCUGUGGUUUAAAGUGCAUCAAUUUAGUAUCCUGUGAUUUUUUUUUCUCUUUUCAUCAGCUCCUACCUUAACAUUUUGUUAAAUUAUAUACAAAAAACUUUAAAUACCCCACUUAGAUUUAUCGAAUAUUCAUUUUAGUAUCUUUUAAUUUUAACUUUGUCACUGAUUAAAAAAAAAAAAAAGUAAAGAAGAUGCUAAAAAUAAAAAUAUGAAACCACGAUAUACUAAAUUGAUACAUAUUAAUUAAAUCAUAGAGUACUAAAAUAAAAAAAUACGAAACCACGGGAAUUGUAUUUGAAGUACGUCUCCCUAAAUUUAAUUCUUGCCUUUAGUAUCCUUCUCCCGAUUGGCUUCACUUCUUUUUCUCAUUUUUCUCUCUUUUAUUUUCUCUCCAUGUCUUACUAAUCAUUUCCAUCAACCGUCCCUAGAGCAAGUGGCAAAGGGCUUGGUGGUUGGUAUCCGAGACCCAAGUUCAAAUCCUAGUUGAUUCACAUUUUUAGCUAAGUUUAUUUCUAAAUGAAAUGAACGAAGCGGGUAACGUGCUACCUAUCUCUCAAAAAAAAAAAAAAACAAAACAAAACAAAACAAAACAAAAAAAAAACGUGCGUGGAAGGGGAAACCACUGAGUUCAGGGUACAAAUACAAAACGUAAAAGAUAAUUUUGAGACUAAAAUAUUCAAGAGAAAAGUUUAAGGGCUAAAAGAUGUCACAACAUUUGUGACAAACCUUGGAAAAUAUUUAUCCAUGCAUUCCAUCAAUCAAACUGACCAAUGCUAGGGAGUUUCACACACGAUUGGGUUCGCUAGGGUAAAGCAAGGACCAAGUUAACCAAGAAUGUGUUUGGUAAAAACGAACUACACCCCAUCAAAUUUGGUGACUUCGAUCCAAGCGAUGAAAUUCAACCUUGCGCUCAUUACGGGCAAAGUCACUAGCUAGUUUGCGCUGUGCGCAAACUCGCUGCCAUAUGAGACGGAUUCGCGCACGUCGGCUCCAUAGGUUCCAUGGAAGUCGAGCUGCACGAUUCAAUCCACGAACACUGGCAUGAAAACUCAGCCACUUUGACCCUGACUUUGGACAAACCAAACAUGGCCUACAGUACACCCCUAUGGGUGAGCAUAUUCGGCUCAAACUGAAUUACCAUACAAACCCCAUCGAAAUCAGUCGGGUCGAUUGCUUUUACAUAUAAUAUAAUUAUAAUUAAGUUCCGUUCUAAAAGUUAAAAGCUAGAAAAUCGAAUAAACGGAAUAAAACAAAAGUUGAGUAAUUCAAUAUAUAUUAGUCUCAAAUUUUAAAAAACUUAUAUAUUAAUUACUAUUAUUAUUAUCUUAGAUUAAUGAUUUUAAACAUAAAACUAAUCAUAAUUAUAUCUUAUUUUUAGUAAUUUAGAAAAAGCCCUAAAAAUAUUUUAUUAAAACUAAAUAAACUGAACUGAAUCAACCGAAUUAUUUGGUUUUGUUCACAUCAGUUUUUGCCUCUAACUCGUUUUGGUUAGGUUUUAUAAAAAGCUGUAAAUAUGGCACUAGACAGACCAACAAUGCUUACCCCUACAUUUGCCUACUGCUUUUGCCGCUUUUGUGAACCAAUUCGAUCGACAAAGUUGAGAAAGCACGUUUGGUGAUGACAAUGGUGGUAGAGGUGAUAAAUGCGUCGAGAGUUCAAUCCCGUAUUAGAUAAUUAAGAAGAAAGUAAAGAAUUGAUGUAUUUCAAUGGGUGCAGAUCUAAUAGGCUUAAACUUUUAGAUUGAAUGAAUUCAAUUAUUUGUCAUAUCCUUAGACUUAUGUAAAUUUGGAUUAGGCUCAAAACUCCCUAACAAGUGGUACUCGUUUAAAUAGUAUGGUGCAAUUGAAUUAGUUGUUAUUAAAAACGUGACGGGAAUACAUGGAGGAUUUGUCUAUACCUCUAUACAUAUAUAUAAAUUUUCAUGGCUAAAUUCACAUGAAUGUACUAUCUUCAUUUGAGGGUGGUGGAGAGAUCAAGAUGCGUAUGGAUUUUUCAAUAUAUGAUUUUCGGUUUUUCUUUUUCUCUCUCCUUUUUUGUUGCUCACUGUUCGGAGCCCUCCGGCCUCCAUUCGCUGCUCCUCAUGCGUCCUUGACAAGAACGGUUCAUGAUGCUAUCACAAGCUAUACUAUUCUCAACAAUUAUAUAUGGAAUAUCUAUAUUGUUAUGUUUUUAUUUUUUCAUAAUUUUUUUUUCAAUUAUCUACCUGUCGCAUCGCACAGGUUGUUUCAUUAGUGAUAAAAUGAUAAGACAAUUUUGUGUACUCAAAAGAACUGGACUCAGAGAGGAGUGGAUUGGAUGUAUGAGCUCAUAUUAGUGCAUUAAAAUCAAUUACGCCCGAGAGGCACAUGCCAGGAGCAUGAGUUGGGCUAAACUUUUGAUUGACAAUGACUAAAGCACAUGGAUUGGGAUGUGUGGAUUUGCAGUGACUUACAAAGAAAAGCUAGAAGGACAUGUAUUUGAGACGAACCAAAAAGUGAUUCGGUGCUACGCGUGGAAAGUAAAACGAAAAAAAAAAAAUUUGAGUUUAAGGGGAAAAAAACAAGUAAAACGAAAAAAAAAAAAGAUUGAGUUUAAGGGAAAAAAAUUGAGUUUAAGCAGAAGCAGAUUAGUUCGCAUGUAAAAUGAGAAGGUUGUUAAGAGUUUAUGUAAAUAAUCGCAUAUUGAAUAAUUAAUAAGAGAGAAAAAUGUUGAAAUAUAUGCCACUGGGCCUAAUGAGUUCCAUCAAAAUAUGCUACAUGUGAAUCUGGACCAUGCGGUUGGGUCCAGAACUCCUUGCUUAUAGGGUCCCCCUUAACUUUGUUUAUUUUAGAUCAGCACGGCACCCUCUUAUUGACCGUCCUUAACGCAAGUGGCAAAAAGACUUGAUGGGUUGGUAUCUGAGACCCACCGCACCCUCUUAUUGACCGUCCCUAGCGCAAGUGGCAAAAGCGCUUGAUGGGUUGGUAUCCGAGACCCAAGUUCGUAUCCGAGAUCCAAGUUCGAAUCCUAGUUGAUUCACAUUUCCAGCUAAGUUUAUUUCUAAAUGAAAUAAACGAAGCGGGUAGUAUGCUAUCUUUCUCUCUCCCAAAAANAAAAAAAAGCACCGCACCCUCUUAGUUCCUAAUUUUUUUAAUUAAGAAGUUUAAAGUUCAGAGGUUCUUUUGAUAGUUGAGAGGUGGUUUCCAUCCUAAUUUUUUUAUAAAUUGUCGAUAAACGCUAAGUCUACAAUCCAAAGAAUUGUAAUCUCUUCAACCCGUCAUCCAAGAGGUUGUAGGGUGUUUAAAAAAAUAAAAAAUUCGAAGGUGCUAAGACAAGUAGAAAAAAACACAAAAGGGGCUUUUGGUGAGUAAAAUUGCAGGAUUAGUGGAUUACAACCCAAAAUAGGUUGAAGGCCUUGCAUUUCCCAUUAAACUCUAUACUAAAAUUGAAGCCAAAUGCCGUUUCUCCAAUGAGCCACGUGGCCUUUUUUUUAUAUGGAUUUUCUCUCCCUCCCUCACAUAGACUCACAUGGGCUAUGUUAAAUGGGCAUGUAUUAUACAAAAUUUUAUUUCAUGCACCCUCUGUAUCAUAUUAAACAAUAAUGAUUUUAAAGGUAAGAGGCUAUGUUAAAGAGGCAUGUACUAUGAAAAAUUUUAUUCCAUGCACCCUCUGUAUUAUGUUAAACAAUAAUAAUUUUAAAGGCAAGCUCAGUUAAAAUCAACCAGAAGAACGUCAUCUUAAUUUUACAGUUCUGAACCUUAAUUUUCUUUGUCGCCGAAAGAUCUACCAACUAAAAUCUUUAUCAGAUUGCUACUAUUUUCCGUCCUCACUUUUGGAGUGUCAGAAUGACACGAAAUUGUAAAUUUAGUCUAAGAAAAAUAAUUCCGGCAUAUAUUGAAAGUUUAAUAUUUUUUUACAAUGUAUAUUUUCUUCUAAAAAAAAAUUAUAUUCCUUACAGAAAAUUCUAAAUCUCAUGUUUUCAUUCCAAUUGCACCAUGGAUUAUUUGUAAAUUAUCUUUUACUUUUUUAAGUCCAAUAGAAAUAGUAUCUCACCCACAAGAUAAUCUUUUUUCUUACAAAAUUUUUCAUACUACAUACAAAGGGUGUAUGAAACAAAAAAAUUCAUAGUACAUAGAAUACUGUCUUGUCCUUUUGCUAUCUUUCUAAUCAUGAGAGUGCAUACAUCCUCCCCCCAAUUUUUUCUAUAUAUAGCAUUGCUGUUCACCAAAAGAAAAAACAAGAGAUUGAUGAAAUCAAAACAUAUAUAGAUUGUAGAUAUUUAUCUGCAUGUGAAGCAACUUGCCGUUUGUUCCAAUUUGAUAUCCAUUUUAGAGAACCAUCGGUUGAGCGACUACGAGUACAUCUUCCUUUAAUGAAUAAUAUUAUUUUCCACAAUACUGAAAAUUUAGAAAGUCUUUUGCGUAGACCAAGCAUUGAAAAAACAAUGUUGACUGAGUGGUUGCAUACCAAUUCAAUUUAUGAAGAUGCUCGACAACAACGAUAGUGAUUUGCCUAUUUAAACUUCUGCUGUAGCGAAAAAAUCACGUUUGUAAGUAUUAAUAUUUUUAAAAUAUUUUUUGUAUUUCUUAUUCCAUCAUAUAUAUAUAUAUAUAUAUAUAUAUAUGAGAUAUUGUUCAUACGUAUGCAGUUCGAAGACUAGAAAAGGACCAAGCAAAGUUAACACCCGCAAGAAAUCAAGUGGAACCGAUAGGCCAUAAUUAAUGAUUUAAGAACUGUUUUAUCAAUUAUAUUUGUAUUAUCAAAGACAUCACAUCGUAUUAGAUAAUCUAUAUUAUAUAUUUAGUUAUCUUACAUAAUGUGAAUGUUAUAUAUAUCUGUAUGUUUCGUGAUAAAUAAAUAAUGAAAGUCGUAUUAUUAACUCUCAACGCUACGACCUCCCGCCGCGAAGCGCGGGUCAUUACACUAAUAUAUAUUAUUACAGUACACACAUCUCAAACUGUAGAGCUUUAACAAAUGACCCACCAUACUUUUAACUUGGCAAUUAAAUCUCAAAACUUUAUUAAAAAAUUUAAUAGUCUCUGUCCAGGAGAAAAGUAAGUAAUUGAACAACUGUGCUAGCGGCAUAUCUUAUAGAUAUCCUAUAAACUUUCAAAACACAAAAAACUGAGUGAAUUUGUUUUUGAUUUUUUCUUUUCAAACAACUAGAAUUUUAAAGAAUGUUUCAUUGUGUCAUGAAGCUUCACAAGAUCAAAUGCAAGAUGAAUGAGAACAGAUGUUUAAUUAGGAACUUUACUUGAAAAGAAGAGUUUUAUUGAAUUAUUUAAUGAAGUUUACGAGAAAAGGGGCUGUACAUUUCUAAUGCAGGCAUAGAUCCUGUAGGUGGCUAUUGAUGCUCUGGUACCAAACUGAUGCAAGCUGAAAUGCUAUAACUACAAGUAGGGUUGUCAACAAGCCGAACACGAACAAGUUGGGACCGGCUCGUAUUCGUUCAUUUAUUAAAUGAGGCAAAUACGAGAUGGUUCGUUAAAAUAUCGAUCCCGAGCCCAUUUCGAGCGGAACACGAGCUAGUUCGUGAAUAGUGAGUUGGAUUGCCGGUCCUAGUUGCAAGAACUGUAGCAACAAGUAUUAUAUCAACAGGUAGAAGAGUAAAAAAGAAAAGAAGAGAUAAAUAAUUCUAAUCCUAAUAAGAUAUCUUAAUUUUAAUAAUUUUUGCAAUUUAAAACUUCUAAAUCAAUAUUCCUAAUUUUAAAAAAUUUAUUUCAUAUCACAAAUCCUAAAAUAUCAAAAAAGUCUAAAAUAAAUAAUCAAUAAUAAUAACUUGAAAAAUUACCAAAAAAAAUCCUAAUUAAUAUUUUUGGUGGCAUCAAUUCCAUAAUAGGUAAAUUGCACCAUUAGUUCCUAAACUUCAAGCCAAGUUUUAUUUUGUUCCUUGAAUUUCUAAGUUAAAAGUGAUCCCCUAGAGGCACCUCAUAUUUAUUUACUGUUAGUGGAUAAAUUAUUGUCUACACCAAAGUGCAUAUCUAUGUACUAUGUAUUUAUGGACUAUUUUGCUCUCAUGGCAUAUUUCAACCUUUAUACCUAGAGUUGAAAAUGAAUUGAAUAAUACCUAAUCAUAUCUGCCUCCAUAUUCGAUUUUAUCCACAUCCGAAUAAGAAAUAUUUGAAUUUGGUCACGGAUCAGAUGUAGUUUCAAAGAGUUUAAAAUUAUUCGAAUAUUCACAAAAUUGGAUAUUUGAUAUGAAUAUUUGAGAAUAAAUAUGUAUGUUAUUAGUUAAAUUUUGCAGGUGAAUAAGAGAGAGUACGAUAUGGUUCACACGUACGGCAGGAGCCUUGCCCUUGCGCCUCUGCUUAGGGCUGUGGGUUUGAUUCAUCGCUUUUGAGCUGGGGCUGUGGGUUCGAUUCCUUGCACCGCCCAUGUAAACUUUUUUAGAUUUAAUUUCAAUUUUUAUUUUAAAAUUUAAUUUUAAAUUUAAAUUCAGAUCUUAAAGAUAUUUUAAAAUUCAAAUUUAGAUUUUUUAUUUAAAUUUAAAUUUUACAUUUAAAUUAUUCAUGUGAUGUAUUAUUGAUAAAAAAUUUAGAAGGCAUUUUUGAAAAGUUUUGAAUAUCAAUAAAUAGAAAAUUCAAAGAAGCAUGAGUGAUAUAAUAGAUAAAAAUAAAAUAGAUUUUUAUAAUUAUAAUGGCUAUUUCUAAUAAAAGCCAGUCAUUAAAAAAAUAUUUCUGAUAGGCAUGCGUAAUAUUAUUAAAUUUAAGUAAGCAUACUUGAUAUUAAAAUAGUUAGGGAAUUUUUAUUUUUUUUUAUUUUUUUUGGUUGUGGAGAGUUCUAAGUUUUAACAUCGUAUGCAUCUAAGGAUGCAAACAGGACGGUUCUGGAAGCGGGAGGUUCCUCUACCUCCCGUUUCAUUUUUUAUUGGGGCGAGACUGAUUCGGAGCAGAGUAUUUUUUAUUUUAUUUUUUGCUCCUACUUACCGUUCUAUUCAGGAUGAAUCAGGAUGAAAGUAAAAUUUUGACAGAUUUUUUAGGGGUCGAAAUGGAUUUAAAAAAGGAUGACUUCCAGCGUCCCGCAACUCCGCCCUAUUUACUUAGCGAUGGGGACUAUUCGGAAUAAAUUAUAUAUUUUUAUAUUUUUUAUUUUUAGAUAUUGUCUCAUUCAGGAUGGAUGGGACUUGGGAGGGAAGCUCCACGGAUCCAUUUGUAUCCCUGCAUGUAUCAACCGCUGGACAAUGCAAUGAACAUAAAGUGGGGCCCGCCAAAAUGCGGGGCCCACCGUUGGACGAGGUAGUGAGAUGACGCAACAGGCCCUCCGCCUCUCCCUAUAAAUAAGGGACUCGGCUACGUCCUUCGAAGGAACCAUAAACCCAUUCGCUCCCCCACCCCUCCACAAUCCCCGCUCGAUUACUCGCGAGCUCGGGGAGUACUCCGCAAAGAAGAGGAGAACGAAGGCGAGAUCUUAUAGAUUCUUCUGUCGAUUACUCUCUCCACCGCGAUCUCGGUAUCAUUCUCGAUCUCGAUCUAUCUCUUAAGCUCGAUCUAUCGAGUGGCUUCUCGACGAGUGUCUUAAUCGAGGUUUCACGCUCUAAAUUCCUAACGAAAUGGUGUUUUAGCUGCGGAUCUGUCGAAAAUUUGGUUCAAUUAGGGCUUUUCUUUGCGAUUUCGGUUCCAAGGCCUCCAAUGAUCCAUUUCUGGUUCAAUUCAACGGCUACAUCUAACAUACGAUUGUUCUUUGUCGUAAUUUUAGAUUCGAUGCUAUUUUUGGUUUUGCUAUGCUGAAAUUCUUGUGAUUUACUGCUCUUUCGUGCUCAUUUUAGUGGAAAACAGUUGUUUAUAUGUUUGAAUCGUUCUAUAAGGAGCCGAUCUCUUGUAGCUGGUGAUUUGAUCUAUUCUCAUAAAAUUACAUGGGUUUUGAUCUGUUUUCUAUUUAUUUUUUAGACAAAUAUAGCUUUCUAUUCUUGAAUAGUACUUUCAGGUCAAGUAUAGGGUGAAUUUAUGAUAUAAAACUUCCUAUGAUUGUUGAUUUGAUGAUUAUAUAUGUAUUUCAGAGUUUUGUAUACAGAAGAUAGAAUAAAUUCAUUGUUUAUACGAUGUAACGUAUGAAAAUAUGCUAUUACCCUCACAACUAAUUUCUCUAGGGUUACCUUUAUCUGAAAGCGGCAAACAACACUAAGACUCAGAAGGAAGCUAGUUAUUGAGAAGGGGAGAUAAGCAUGGAAAGUAAACAACAAUACUAAGUAGCUGAUAUCUGACGAGAUGAUUAUUCAUUUAUUCUCAGACUUUUAAUAACUCUUCAGUUUCAGGCUUAUAUAGUGAAUACUGCCAAAUAAGAUUACUUCACUAUAUAGCUUUCAUCUGACAUGCUAGAUGUUUUCUGAAUAGGAACAUAGAUGAGGAGAUGUUGCAUGUGGUUACAACAAUAACCCAAUGCCUCACCCAAAAUGGUUAAUGAGAACUUAUUGGAUUGGUUUCCAUGUUGUUUUAUAUUUCUUAUUUCACAUCCAUUGUGAGGUCUAAUUGCGUUCCGAAUAUUGAGCAGGACAGUCAAUAUAGGUUCUCAUGAAUAACCUGCAGAGAACAAGCUGCACAUGCAGACACAUUGAUGGCAGAAUCACAUAAGGGUAUUUCUUCAACUGCUAAUAUGAAGAAUAGAAGAGCAUUACUUGGUAUGAUUUGCUAUUCUGUUUCUGUGCUGGUGGGUUUACAAAGUUAAAACUCGUCAGCCAUUUCUUAUUUGGUACAUUGUGUUGCAACUAUUGAAAGUCCAUGAAAUAUGUUAAACAUACAUGGAGGCCAAGAUAGUGAUUGAACACUUUCUUAUUCUAUAUGCAAUAGCCCUUAAGAACAUCCAUGGCAGUGGAAUAAGUAUAUCAUAGAAUUUAACAUACUUGAUUUAAACCUGAUGUACACUUUUUCUUUGGAACAGAUGAAGAUUUUGGAAAGGACUUUCUUACAAGCUGGAAUUUGUCUAGACUGGGAAAAGAUGGACUCACCUUUGAUGUUGAAACAGUUUCACAGAGCGGCAAAAAGUUCAAUUUUGAUAAACUGUGAGUGGAUUUCAAAGAAACAAAUUUCUGGACCAACUCAAAGAGUAUCAUUCUACUCUGUAAUUAUGAUAUUAAUAUAGCCCUCUAUUCAGGGUCGACUUCGAGCUUGGUAGUAACUUUGACAAGCUAUCAUCUUUCAAACUGGAGAUGCCUGAUCUGGUCUUUUCCACUCCAUUCAAGAAGGCAGAGAAGGAAAAUGAGAAGUCUUCUGAUGAAUUUGUUCCGGGAAAAAAAGAAUCCAAAAAAGACAAGUUUGCCUUUGAUUUUGAUUUUAAUGAGUAAGUUUAUUGCACUAUAUUUAUUACUUCAGGACCAUUUGCUAUCCGAGGUUAAACAAUGUUAUAAUUUUCUUUUUGUUAUGUUCACAUGUUUUGUUUGCUUUUAGAUUGGGUAAGUUUGAUCUUGGCUUAAAACUUCUGACUGGAGAAAAGGAAGCUACUGAUCGCUCCACUAAAUGCCCAGAAGAUAUUGGUACCAAUUCUUCUAUUAGUCAGGACAAGGGUACGAAUAAGGUAGGCAAUUCAGGCAUGAACAUGGAUAUCCUUCAGAGUAAUGAGAAUAAGGCACCUUCCGAAACAGAGAAUCUAUCCACUUCAAGGCCUACUAAAUUGAUAGGGCAAGGGAUGGCAAAGACUGCUGGUUAUUCACGUUCUUUGAAGCUGACGUUUGAUGAUAUUCCCCAGGAAGUAGAUCCGUCUGCUACGAUGCAUUCCAUCAUGACAAAAGAAAAUAAAGAAGAAACUACUCAGUUCAGCAAGGAAAAUAAAGAGCAACCAGUUGCAACACACAAUGCAAGAUCAUCUGUUGAGAAUGCCGCACAGGGUUCCACACUUCUAUCUGCAUCUAGUGAUGUUUCAGCCCCGCCAACAGCUUAUUACUCUGAAGAGCUUUCUAUGUUGGAUCUUAUUGACCCAAAUCUGGUUGGUGGACAAGAUAAUAGCAUGGAAUCAAAUGAUUCAAGACACCAGAGGCCAGAAGGUAAAACAGAACCACCAACCACUGAAAGAGUGUAUCGGAAAUAUGAUAGGAACGUAAAUGAGUGUGGUAGAGAAAGCGUAUCUCAUAAUGAAUCAUCUGAAGGGUCCAAAGAUGUUUCCGGUACCUCUGCUACAGAUGUCUUACAGAGAAGUUUUUGUGGAACAAAGGUUGGCGGGGAUGGUGGAGAGAAGAAAAUUUUGAGUCCAAAUCUUCUUCCAUCACCAAUGCACAGGUUUAUUUUAUCUUAGUAGUUCUUUGGUUAAUGAUUGAGAAAUGAUCCUUUCAUUCAGUUGGUUCCAUGCAUGAGUUGUCGUUUUAAUUUUUAUAUGCUGAUUAUCUUCACAGUUAUCUCCAAGUUACUGUGUUGUUGCAGAAAUUUACUGUGUUGUUGCUUUUAUAACGUCACUUGUGUUUGCUGUCUUCAUCUGUAACCACAGACUUCUAGUUCAUUUAUCUGAUUAUCUGCUGUAAGUGCUUUUUAGUCAAUUCCUCAUAUGAGUAAUCUUAAGUUCUAGUGCAAUUUUAUUUCUUUAACUGUACAGCAAGUUAUAGGGUAAGUCUAGGAAGGGGUAUGCAGCUAAAUUCAUGUAUUCAUGUGUGGUGCAGAAAUUUUGCAUCUCUUAAGUCCAUCGCAACAAAAGAAAGAGGAUCCUCUUCUUCCCUAUCACUUAAGCCUCUUAAUGCGCCACUAACUCGAAAGAGCAGUUUCCUGAAGUCACAUCAGAAACCUGCAAAAGGGGCAUCCCUUUGCACUGCAAAUGACAAAAGCGAUAAAGAGCACAGCACUGAUAGGUAAGGAAUUCUUUAAAUGACCUGACUCUAUCUGUGCUGUUUAUUUUGUUGCAGAAGUUUGAAUGAACUCCCGAAACUUUUCACCUUGAGGGAUCAAACUUACUUAAGGACCUUGAGGAAGUCAACAGUUAACAGCAUGCUUGAUAAAUCACUUGCCAUGUUAAACUUAAAGUGCAGUUGAGACUCAUAGUUAUACCUAGGUUACUCAGUGUGGCUAAAUUUAGGUUGAACCUGAUCGUCAUUGUGAUAUAUGAGUUGACAAUAUUGCCUUUGUAGAUUCUGUCCUCUAUUGAUGGUAUUAGACCUAUCUUUCUCAAUUUUAGCUGGAAAGUUGAAAAAUACCCUGCAAAUUAUCGAGGAAUUAAGAAAGAGUAAAAUGAAGUGAUAACUAUUUUUUGAACAAGUUGGCUUUGGUUACCAUUCAACUGUUUUCUUAGAGGGUAAAUUGCACCAGGAGUUCCCAAUCUUUUUAAAUUCUUACAAUUGGGUUCUAAUCUUUUGCAUCCCAUUUUAGCUGCAACUUUUUCAUUAAGUUCCUCUCUUGAAUUGAGUGAAGUCAUCAACAUAUUCGCCAUUUGGGAAGUCCAAAAGUCGCAUACACAACAAUGUGAUGAUGAUUAGGCAGAUAUUUCUGUGCAACUUGAUUGAGAAGUUUAAUUGAAUGGUUAUGCAUGCAAUGAAAUGCCACAAGUAGGGACCAAAUUGUAAGAAUAUUUUGCUAAAAGGUUGAGGAACCUUGUAUAGUUUAUCCUUUUUCAGUUAUAGGUGAUUUUGAACUUGGUGAUCGGAAAAUUCCUAAACAACUGGGCUAAUUUUGGAAGAAUUGUCGGCAAUAAAAUAACUGGACUACAACCAAAUGGCAUGAAAUAAAAUAACUAGUACCUCUUGAUUAACCUUGUAGAUGAAACACGAGCUUUGACGAUCUCAAAGAACUAGGACAUUAUUACUGAAAACAACAACAAUGAAGGUCGUGUCCAAAGUGCAAUGUUUGGAUUUUGCUAGGAGAAAUGCAAUCUUUAAUUCAAAUCAUUUUUCAGUUGCAUCUAGCACCAUACUUUAUCUUUUCAUCCAUCAAUUUGAUGCUUAUAAUGUGAUAGUAUUUUCUGGUCAAGUGUGCUGGUUCUCCUUUUCUUUUAUUUUUCAUUUCUAUGCUGGUAAUACACAAUAAUUUUUUUAGUUACUUCAAUUUACUGAUAUUCUCCAAGAAUUUUCUUCAUUAGAUCCAUAUACAAAUUAUAUAAAUCCUGUCUUUGCAAUUCCAUUUCUUACUCGAAGUUGUAGUAACGAAAUUUUCUGUCCUUUUGAAAAUUCAUGAAUAGUUCACAAAUGUUGGUUGACUGAAUGUUUCUUCAAAUUAUUCAGGAAUAUAUUAAUAUUGACCAGCAAAUUGUAAAACAUAUAAAUAUGUGAAAUAAUAACUAAUUCAAGUAUUUUGCAUUAAUCAGUACCAAAUAUAUUAACAUUUACUAUCUGAAUUACCACUGAAUUUUUUCUGAAUUCUCCAUCAAUGUUGCCGAGAUCAAUUCAAAUACUCAACUUGUGAUUAUACUUGAAAUGCCUUGAUUUGCAUAUUUGGUACUUUAUUUUUCUCAUUACCCUUGAUGCAUUUCUUGCUUGACUUUUUGAUAGUGCUUGUACAUUUACAAUUGCAGUUUCCAUCUUCCAUCUUUCAACUUGCUUUCACGGGCUGAUACUGGCAGUAGCAGUACUAAGAGUGGCACUUCCAACCUUGUUUCAAGCUGCACACACCUUAAAAACCCCGAGGUCAUUUCUUCCGAAGUGCAACAUACUGCUAUGAAGGAUAUAAAACAUACUCUGCUUUCUAGCAUGAUGUCCUCAAGGUAGGAUAUAUGCAUCCUUCCUCCAGCUAUGCAGAUUACUUUGCAGAUGUUGAUCUAUACGAAGUUUUUUAUCUAAUGUACUUUUCGUUUGUGCAGAGUUGCGAAACUAAAUGGCAACAUUCCAAGUUCUACAAUGCGAAUAGAAGCAAAAUCAGUUAAGUUCUCAGAGGGGAACCAAGAUGCUCCUCAGAAUGCAAUAUCUAGCAAGCCCUACUCACCAAACAAAGAAAAACAUGUACCCCUGAGCCCACUUUUGAAGAGAAAGACUCUAGAGGUCCUCUCUAUUUGCAUAGUCCUAGUAUCUGGAUAUAUGAUUCUAUAGAGUACUUAUUUAAAACCUAUCUUCUAGUUGCAAGCUGAAUUUGUUGCUUAUUUGAUGCUAUUUCCUUUUAUUUGCCUGUUUGACACAUUUAUAAGAACAAAGAUAAAACCUCCACUACUUUUAAACCCUGUUUUGUCAUUAAAUACUUUAACAGGAAAGACCAGAUGGUGUUGUUUAACUUGUGAAUCAUAAAUGAAGAUAAUAGUGGUAACAAAGAACUAUAACAAUCUGCAAGCUAGAGGACCGGAAAAAUUUGUGAAGGGCAAAUGAAAUACAAAACUGCAUGACUGCUACCACCACAUAAGGAUUGUGCUGUGCUUCUUAUCUACAGUAUCAUCGUCAACAGGAAUUAUCUUUUUUGUUUCUUUGUUUGGAUUCUCUCGACUUUGCUGAAUCCUUAUCCUCUCUAGGUUUACCUCAAGGAUACAGAUAGAGUGGCAUGUAAAUAAGCCACAAAAUAUCAUGUGAAGGAAAAAGGACAGUGAAAUAUAGAAAAGUCAUUGAUAUAAGAGGUUAGGCAAAUGCUACCAUCCAUGGGAUGGGUGAGAAAACCACUAUAAUAACUACUGUUAGAAGGCUUACAAUGAUCAACAGGAGAUCUCUAACAAAUGCAUUAAGUAGAAGCACCAUGAAAGAAGCAUUUAAAAGGCCGACUGGAACUACAAAGCCAACUAUAAAUAGAUUAUCUUAAUUUUCCUUUUUGCAUUUCUGUCUCCCGCCUCUUUUCCUCUUGUAUUUUCUGCUUUCUUUUUCUCUCACUUUUCUCUCUUUUCUCCUCAAAGGCACUGGACACCGAAUGCUGAGAAUUGAAAGAGAGCUUUCUCAUUUCCUUUUUCUCCUGUUCAUAUGUCAGAUACAAAUACUAAGUGGACUGUAUUGUUUAAUCUUCUAGACUGAUGGCAAAGCCAUAAACAUAUUCACUUCUGAUUUUGCAGAAAGCAUGACUAGAUAAAAUAUCGUACGGCCUAAGUGAGAAUGCAUGAAAUAACAGAAAUAGGAGCUUUAGAAAAUGGGCUUCCAAGGUCCGUCCUUAUGCUAGAGGGAAAACAAGUAUGCUAGAGACAAAACAAGUUCUUUACCAUUCCUUAUGCUAGAAAGAAGACAAGUUACUUUCUCUUUAUGAACAUAAUUAAUUCUCUCAAGUCCUUUAAUCCCCUUUUGGAUCCAUUAUUCAGUGUUUCUACAUUUUAGUUUGUAAAAUUGUGAAAAUCUACAGCUUUUUUUCUCUUUCACAUCCAUGCCCUGUAGUCUACAUCUGUUAAAACUGACAACAAGAAUGCAGAAACUAGCCAUCUGUGACUAAUCAAAUGGAAAAGUAUGUAAAAUUUUGUUGUUAGUGUUGAUAAUGAUGUCCUUUGACUUCUUGUUUCACAGUGAGCUAGCAUGCUUAGGAUCUUCUAUGGAGUGCAAUGAACAUUAAGCCUCUUUGAACAACUUGUUCGCUGAUGCCAAUACGUAUAAUCUUUUACUAUUCUUAUCAUUGUUUUGUUACAUAUGCUUGCGUUGAAAAUUUCUAAUUAUUCAUGUAUAUUGGCAAUUUUCUUGUAUUACUGAUAUUUGAUGAUACAUCUUGCAGUUAGAAUCUCAAUAUCUGAUAACCUCUGAGAAUUUCAGUUGCCUUCUUAUGAAUCUCACUACAAAUUAAUUGGAGGCUUGAUUGGCUUCUUCAUUUUAGUUUGUGUAUCGUUGCCAGGGAUCAGUAACAGAUUUAAAGGCUCUUAAUCCAUUGAAACGCAUCAUGGAGUCUCCUGCUGAACAAAGGUAGCUUCCAUCAAACUUGCAGGAUAUAUACAUCCAUAGCUGUUUUGGUUCAUAACUUAUGCGCUCAUAUUACGCAGGAAAUCACCGAACAUUAGCUCAAAAUCUGCUAGUGAUUUGGUACUCAUUUGAUAUAUUUCCACACAUCAUUAAUACAGACUGUGCUUUAGUUAAAAUGAAGAUAUUAUCACGGUUAAUUCUGAUGUUUUCAUUUUUCUUGUUUUUCUACUGUGUAGGUUCCAGUAACUGAAAGUCAGAAAGCUUUAACUGAUAAUACUGUUACUUCAACUGGUCUUAAUGUGAUGGGGAGCAUCUCAGACUUUGAAAUGCCUUCACUUGUUGAAAAUGAUGUAAAUGUGGAAAAAGCUGAAGCUUGUGCAAAAGAGCUUGAUGAUGUAAGUGCAUUAUAUAUUUAGAAUUGAUUCGUUUUGUUUUCUUCAUGAAUACAGAAAUGUUUAGGGAGUCAUUUUAUUCGGCUUUUAAGCCACUGGAUGAGAGAGAGAAGGAUAUCAAAAAUGACUUGAAAGAAAGUUGCAAAGAAAAAUAAUGGUUAAAAUUAGAGUGACAACUGAUGUUGCACAGGAAUGUAAAAUUCAGCAGAAGUAUCCACACUAUAGACCCUAAAUAGCCGAGUAAAAAUGCUUAACUGUUGUCUGUCAUUUGUGUAGAUGCGAUUAAUGGUAUAAAUGAUAGAGUAACAACUAAUGUAUGGGACAUAGAGGGAAAUAGACAAGUAACUUGCUUAUGAUAAUAUGCAUGUACCUAUGGUUUCCUACUGUUUUUGCAGUGAUCAUGAAUGAGCACUCUAGGGAUGUUGAGAACAGAUGCUUUGGUGUUUAUCUUUUGCUUAUUGUGGUUUGAUUAGAUUCUAAGUUGAAAUCAUGGAGUUAAAACAUCAACAUCAAUAUCUAAAGGUUUAACGAUAAGUUGGUCCAAAACAGAAUGUGCACAGUGAAAUUAUUUAAAAUUCGUUUCCUAAUUGGUAGAAGGCAGAGUCAUGUUAACUAGGUGUUUAUUAGGAAAGAAACAAUGAAUAGAAUUAUACGCAACAUUAAGACAUGAUGGUUCAAGUGGAGAGUUAUGCAUUAAGAGUAUUAUUUGAUAGUCUGUUGCAUGGCAUUUUUAAUCAAAAUGAAAAUGUAUAUGAUGGAUAUCGAAUAGUUUAUUGUUCUGUAAAUGAGAAACUAGUACAUAAUUUUGAAUGUAUACGAAAUUACGGCAUCAUAAUUUUUCCAGAUAUGCAACAUGCUGAAAAAGAAGCACGAGGAAGCUAAAGAAUUGCUUGUUCGAGCUAUUGUAAACAACAAUGCAUUGCUGAUGUUAAACCAUCCCAUGUAUGAGGAGAAGAUAUCCUUUACAGCUGUAUCAUUUCGGGAUCCUGCAACUGCAAAUGUGUUUUAUAUAUCUUUUUGCCAGAUAUCAAACUUGUGAUUCCUUCACCAACAGAACAUCCGCGCCCUUCAGAGGUUUGCUACCAGUCUGCACUCCAAGGACUACUCUUUUUGAACUAGUCAGUGAACAACCAACUAAUCCAGUGUAAGCUCUAACUCUUCUGACUAUAUGCAUACAAAAUCUGAAGGCAAUUUACUAUUUCAUGUUGGUGGUCUCAUUACUAUGAUAAAAGUAGAAAGAAUAAUGGCAAUCAACUUUUGAGUAACUGAGUGCUCAUUUUGGACUCGAGGAUAGUUGAUCAAUCAUUCUGCAAUUGGUGAAAACUCAUACUUGUGGAACAGAUUCUAUGGUAAAAAUUAAUGAACUCUUCUGAUCACUCUCUUGAAAGGUUUUCCAAGUCAAUAGUUUUUCCGAAUGCGAAGGAUAAAUUUGCUGGGAAAGAUUGCAUUUAUUUUAAGCCUGAAAGAAAAUAAUAAAUAUAAAUAUGAGGUCUGCACUUCAUGUUAGUAAAUUGUGAAUUGUGGGAGAGAGGGAAAGACCGGACUGCUUAAAGCAAAUCUUCCAUCUUAAAUAUGAUAAUCGUAUAGUUGGAUAAUAAUUUGAAGUACCAUACAGGAGAAAGAGUUCUGACGAGCCUGGAACCUAAAGGAAUUGAAUCUUUAGUAGUAGAUACUAUUGUGGGGCCAAGUUGAAGUAUUAGGCUUAAAAUGAGCUUUACCUAUCAUUUUUUUUUUUUUUUUUUUUGAGAAAUCAGUAGCAUGCCACCGCUUCAUUCAUUAAAGAGAUGAAUUAAGCUACAAAGUGAGGCAACCGGGCCUCCUGAGGAAUAAAAAAAAAAAAAAAAAGAUUAUACACAGAACGCUUUCCAAAAAGAAAGAGACGAACGGACGGUCGAAAGAAGUUGGCUCAGGGUGGCCUUUCGCUUCUCGAAAAUUCUUUUGUUGCGUUCCAACCAGAUAGUCCACCAUAGGGAGGCGAGUGUAGUUGCCUCCCUUCGCCCGAAGGCACCCACAAGCAAACCCUCCAACAAGGAUUUGGUAAAGUCAUACCGUACAAAAAGAUGAUCUACUGUCUCAGGUAUCGUUCGGCAAAAGACGCAAUCCUCUUCCCCCUGCCAGCCCCUUUUUCGCAAGUUAUCCGCCGUUAGGACCCUACGUUUCAAAACUAUCCAGACGAAAAUUUUCACUUUCAAAGGUACCUUAAUAGACCACAAUCGAGAAUAGCUUUUGUCUAUCACUUCGCCAUCUUGUAGGAAGUUAUACAAGGAUUUAACUGAAAAAAUAUCAGAUUGAGCCCAACGCAAUCUAACGACAUCAUGAUCGCCGUUGGGCAUCGUAUCCGUAACAUUCUCCUUCAGCUUCAAAAUUUGUUCUCUCUUGUAUCGAGCUUGGGGUAAAACCGUGCAGGAUCUUGCGCCACUUCCAACCACCUUCGCCGAAACAAGCCUUCACCAAGUAUGAUUUGUUUAGCACACUACUAAAAUUCCAGGGAAUUGGGACUGGAGAGAAAGUUGACCGCACCAAAUGUCCGACCAAAAAUUUACUCUACUUCCAUCACCAAUCGAGAAUGAAAUUCCACAUUUGAAAACCUCCCUAGUCCCUAGGACGUUCCGCCACCACUGCGAGUACGGUCUGAAGGUGGCUCCUUCUCGUAGCGGACGUCUUCUGGAGUAGUACCGUCCUUCGAUGAGAGGUCCCGAUAAGUGAUUCCUGUCAGCGAGGAAUCUCCACCACCAUUUCGCCAACAGAGCCACAUUCAUAUUCUCCAGGUCCUUGACCCCUAGCCCUCCCCCUUCUCUAUUCCUACAAACCGCCUUCUAUUGGACCAGACAAUGACCCCCGACGACAGUAGUCCCCCCUUUCCAAAAAAAAGCUCAACUCAGUGCUUCGAUGCGGCGUAAAACCCAUUUCGGUGCUCCAAACACCGAGAAAUAAUAAAGAGGUAGGUUCGAUAGGACCGAGUUCACAAGCACCAGUCUACCUCCUUGAGAAAGCAGUUUAGUUUGCCACCCCUCGAUCCGCUUCUCAAUUUUACCAAUAAUAGGCCACCAGUCCUCCUUCCUAAGUUGUCUCACCGAAAGUGGGAGACCGAGGUAACGAAACGGGAAGGACCCCCUCUUGCAUCCAAAAAUUCCGACCAACCUGUCCCCAGAGGAGGCCCCUCUACCUAGGUCAAACAACUCGGACUUAGACCUGCUAAUCUUCAGCCUGGAAGCCCACUCAAACAGUUGCCACAAGAACCGUAGGUUUCGCACCUGCCUAUCUUCGGCUUCGCAGAAAAAGAUGGUAUCAUCAGCAUACUGAAUGAUGGCAAUCUUGUUUGCACUAGUUGAGCCUACCCCUCUUAGUAAGUUAUUGGAAACUGCUCUCGUCGUCAGUCUUGCCAACCCUUCUACCACCAGAAGGAAGAGAAAAGGAGACAAAGGAUCUCCCUAACGUAAUCCUCUACGUGUUUUGAUCUAUUUAGUAGGGGUCCCGUUGACUAGGAUAGCCACUUUAGCAUUGGAAGUGCAUUUCUCAAUCCAACCGCACCACAUCUGAUUAGCCCCUAGCCAUUGCAUGAUCUUUCGCAGAAAUUCCCAGUUCACUCUAUCAUAAGCCUUCUCAAAAUCACUUUUAAUACCAACGCUCUCCUCUCCCACAUGUGAGCUUCAGCUAACUACUUCACUAGCCAUAACGAAGGAGUCCAGUAUCAGUUAGCUUUUUAAGAAAGCGGCUUGAGUAGGGGAAAUAAUAUUUUUCAUAACGCCUUCGAGUCUAUUUGAAAGAACCUUAGAGAUGAUCUUGGAUACCCCGUUGAUGAGACUGAUUGGCCUAAAGUCACUAGCAGAAUUGGCAUCCUCUUUCUUGGGAACCAAACAAAUGUAAGCAUAGUCCAAAGGUCCAGGAUUAAAAUUGGUGUCAAACAACUCUUGAAAGAUAAUAUAGAGGUCGGCCUUAAUCACAUCCCAGAAUUUCUGGUAGAACCUUAGAUUAAACCCAUUCCGACCUGGAGCCUUGUCGCUAUCGAGCUGAAAGGUGGCUUUUCUGAUCUCCUCCUCGACGAACGGGGCCGUGAGCAGCUCCGAACUCAGGACCUAACUAUCACGAAAUAAAUCGCUCCAAUCUCCAAAAGUGGAGUUACUGGGGUUGUUCGGGGCGAAGACGUCUUUGAAUUUAGAAUAGAAAUAUUCCCUUUUCUCUUCCUCCCUAAAGAUUCUUCUACCGUCGUCCUCCACCAAGUCAAUAAAGUUUUGUCUUCUUCUUCCAUUCGCCACCGAGUGGAAAAAUUUAGUAUUGCCGUCCCCUUCUUUCAACCAAUGCUGCUUGGCUCUAGUCUUCCACAAAAUCUCCUCUUCUGCCACUAUAGUCAAUAGUUGUUUCUUGAGUUGUUUUCGCUUAUCCUGCUGUCGCGAGUCAAGGCGAAUGCGUUCCUCCAAAAUGUCUAGCUUUUGUAUCUCAGAUAUUUCUUUCUUCGUCUUCAUGAUACUGUGGAAAUUUGUUAAGCACCACUCCUUAAUCCUCUUGCGGCAAUGUCUUAAUUUGGCCGCAAAAGAGAGAAUGCCCGACCUUUGCCGCGGCACUUCGUUCCACCAGGUAGGCAUCAAAUUAUGACUGCCUCGGCACUUCGUUCCACCAGGUAGGCAUCAAAUUAUGCCCGACCUUUGCCGCAACUUUUACCUAUCAAAAUUUUGAUGACAACUGUUAAGUAUUGGUUCCUGGAUUAGGUUAAUUAUGACUGCCUCGGCGUUUAGUCAUGAAAAUCAUGGAAAGGCAGAAUAAUGAUGAUACUAGAAGCCUAAUGGACUGUUUAACAAGAGAAAAAUUUGAUACUUGGGUGGUACAUGUCACUUAACAGAAAAUGUUACCAUUUCUCUAUUUUGAUCAUCACUUGGCUUCCUUCCUUGGAUUGCUUUUACCUUUUAUGCCCAAAAUUGCUAUGUGCUAGACCUAGCAUAUUGUUUGGUUAUGGCCCCUCAUAAUAGGUUACAAUUCUAAUGCAAUUAAAGAAAUUCAGAUUUGAGCAGCUACUCAAGUCUGAAACAGGAACUAGUUGAUUCGAAAUUAGGUAUGUUUGAAUAUUGGACAAAAUAGCAGAUCAGGUACUAUAUUCAAAAUUAACUCUAACAUGGGCCAAAUUCAAAUUUUGUUGGUUUCUUUGGUGCUACUGAAUUAUGUAUUUUGCGUUGAUCUAAUUUUUCACUAUUGGCCGCUUCACAAAACUAUAAAAAUGGUUGAGGAACUGUAGUUGACUUAUUUAGCAAGGGCAAUCAUUCAUUAGUAAAAAUGAAUUUUCAUGCUAUUAAGCUAGUUUUUUUGUUAUUUUAGGUUAGGCAAAGUUGGCUAGCCUAUUGCCAAAGGAUAGGUUUUGAAUUUUUGAAGAAUAAUGUGUCUCUGGCCUGCUGAUGGUCAUGGUUUGAUGGGCUGCAAAUUUGAAAUCAUAGCUUAACAACUCUUCAGUUUAUUAUCAAGUCCUGUCAUUACCUAAUUUUAAUCCAUUAUUAUUCAAACUUGAAGUGCACAAACAACUUUUUUAGAGUAGACCCGCAUAUAGACAAUACAAAAAGAACAGUUUAUUUCUCAAUGUCUGUAGGAUGAGAAAGUGAAAGUCGAUAGUUGCACUUAUAGCACUUCCAUAGAAUAAUAGCAUUGUCGAUCAGGAAUUUUAACAGGAUCUGAGAGUGGGAUGAUCCUAAACUUUAUUAAUGAUUAUCUUGUUUGUCAACGAGUAACCCAUAUGUUUAGUGCCAUGGUCAACCAUUCAGCUAAGUUGGACAUGUGUUGCAAUGGCAACUGUUGUUCUUAUAGGAAAGUCGUCAAUCAUGAAGUUGAAAUUAAGAUUAAAGUCAAUAUUGUUUUUCUAUUUCUAUAAACUAUAGAUGGCAGGGGACAGUAAUCGACAAUUAUGUUAGAGUGCUUAGAAUUGGCCCACACAUUUAGGCCUUCGUAGUCGUAGAAGCUUUUUCCACUAGCGUUUCUUAUUCCUUGCUUAAAAAAUCAAUCACUUUUUACUUUUCCCAGUAAGGAGCUUUUAAACUUUCAAAAAAUUCUAUGCACAUUGGGGAAAGCAUAGAUUGUUUUAUUCUAGCUUCUGAAAGGAACUGAAGGUUUGAUGUCCUAUUUAUAUAUGUAUUUUUGGUUAGAAACUUUAAAUAAUUUUCCUUUGUUUUGAUGUGUUUAUGCCUUACAAUUCUAUGAUUUUAUUUAUUGGUUUUAACUAUCCAUGGUUUUAUUUAAUUACACUGUAAGAACUGUUUGAAGUAGGUUAGAACGGCAUGUGGCAACAUGGGCUUUAGCUUUAUGACAGUAUUGAUUUUUGCCUGUAUGUAUUUUAAAUUGGUUUUUAAUUUCAUGUGUAAUUUCUAGCCUAUCAUUGACGAGACUAAUUCUAGUAAUUUGCAUAUGCACUAAACCAUAUGGGCGUGGGGUGAUUUUUUUUUUUUUUUUUUCGGUUUCCGUGGGGUUGUCCUAUAUGCAUAGACCCGUUAUAAUAGUUAAUUGCAAAGUAUCAUGCUCUCAUCUUUCUAAAUAUUGGUGGUUUUGUUUUAUUGUAUUGGGUCCACCAUUAAUUUGGCAAUGGGAGAUUCUCUUUUUUUUUUUGCUCGUAGAGAAGGUUUAGGUGGUGGACACAAUGGGACAAUAUUUUGUAGGAAUUAGACAACUUGGAAUCGGUUCAACAAAAAACCCUGUCAAGGCACUUUUCUCUAGUGCACAAAGUGUUUACCUUACAAACACACCAACCAUUUUUCGCAUAUAUUGAGAUCGUUCAUAUUUUUUUGGCAUAAGCGCUUUAAUGUGCUUAAAAGCAGAGGGCGAGUGCUUGUCCUUUGACCUAUCGAUGGAGCCGCACCGUCCAAGAAAAGCUUGUCGUUCUUGAUCUUUUUGUAGAUUCACAAAAUUGGGGGGAUCCGGAGGUGUUCAGGGUUUUCUAUAAUCAACUUAACAGCACCAAAAACCGUCCAAAUUGUGUGCACAUCAUCCAUUAUAGUUAAUGACCCACUACUUUAGUGUCUCAAUGUGCACCGAUGUGGUGACUUGGAUCUCUAUUUUAGAGGGUUACUUUAGGAUUAAUUGCAUCAUUGGUCUCCAACCUUUUUACCUUUUUUUCACUUUGGUCCCAAUAUUUUUUUUUUUUUUUUUGCAAUUAAGUAUCCAAACCUUUUAUUUUAUUACAAUCAAGUUCUAGUCCUAAAGAAAAAGGCUAAAUUUGACGGAAUGCGCCAUGUUAGCCCCAGUUAAGCGCUUACGUGGCUUUUUUUGGGAGGUUAAUUUUGUUUGGAUUGGAAUUCAAAGUUUGAACAUGAACUUAUAAUUUGAAAUCAAAUUAUGAGUUAAAAUUCAAAAUUUAAUUUUAAACUAAAAUUAUGAAAUUUAAAAUUAAAUUAAAUUUGAAUUUGAAUUUAAAACUAUAAUUUUGAUUUAAAACUGGUGAGAAAUUUGAAUUGGAUUUGACUUUGAAAUUGAAUUUGAAUUUUAAUUUUGAUAUUUAGAAUUGAUAUAACACUAAAUUUGAAUUAAAAUUCAAUUUAAAUAUUAAUUUGAAUUUCUAUUUUAAUUUAAAAUCUAAAAUAUAUUUCAAAGUUUGAAUUGAAAAUUAGAAUUUGAAUUGGAAUCUGAAUUUGAAUUCAAAAUCCAAAUUUGAAAUUGAAAAUUGAAUUCAAAUUUUGGUUUUGAGUUUCAUAUUUAAAUUUAAAUUCUUACUUUGAAUUUCUGUUUUAAAUUCAAAUUCUAAAUUACAUUUUUAAAGUUGAACUUAAAAUCAGAAUUUAAAUUUGAAUUUGAAUUUUUGUAUUCAAAAUAUGAAUUUGAAAUUGAAAUUUGAGUUCAAAAUUUAAAUUGAAUUUAUUUGACUUGUAACUUUGCAUUCAAAAUUUUUAUUUCGAAAUUAAAAUUUGAAUUUUGAUAUUUCAUCAAUAUUGACUCUAAAUUUGAAUUCGAAUUCAAAAUCUGAAUUUGAAUUUUAUUUUUAAAAUUGAAUUUUAUUUUUAAAUUUGAAAAUUUAAAAUUUAAAACCUUAAUUUGAAUUUCUAUUUUAAAUUUAAAAUCUAAGUUACAUAUCAAAAUUCGAAUUUAAAAUCCAGAAUUUGAAUUUGAAUUUUUGAAUCUAAAAAUCUGAAUUUGAAAACAAAAAAAUCUAAUUCAAAUCUAUAUUUUAAUUUCAAAUUUAAAUUUAAAUUCUUCGUUUAAAUUUCUAUUUAAAUUCAAAAUCUAAAUUACUUUUCAAAUUUUGAAUUCAAAAUUUGAAUCUGAAUUUUUGAAUUCAAAAUCCGAAUGUGAAUUCUAUAUCUGAAUUUGAAAUUGAAAUUUGAAUUAAAAAUCUGAAUUUGAAUUUAAAAUCGAAGUAAAGAUCUGAAUUAGAAGUUUCAAUUUCAAAUUUGAAUUUGAAGAUCGAAUUCAAUUUCAAAUUUGAAUUUGAAAUUCAAAAUCAAAAAAUAAAAUUAAAAUUUUGAAUUUGAAUUCAGAAUUAAAAUUUUGCUUUGAAAUUCAAAUCUAAAAUCAAUUUUAAAUUUUAAAUUUGAACCAAAAUUAAAUUUGAAAUUUCAAAUUUAUAUUAAAAUUAGAAUUUAAAUUUGCAAUUUGAAUCCGAGAUAAAAAUUUAAAAUAAAAUUUAAAUUAGAAAAUCUAAAAUUUCAAAUUUAAUUCAAAAUAUAAUUUAAAUUUCAAAUUUGAAUUUAAAAUAUAAAUUUAAAAUCAAAUUUAAAGUAAAAUUGUUUAAUUAGCUGGCAUUGUUGGGUGUUUAGCUAGUGCUGACGCGGCACAUUCCAAUAAUUUAAAUGGGCGUUUCAAUGACUUUGAUCUAUUUAAAAUAAAAUGAAGAGUUUAGAGACUUGAUUGAGGGGAAAAAAAAAGAUUUUGGGGGCCAAAUGGAAAAAAGAUGCAUAAGUUGACCAACAAUUUGUCCAUUUCAGCCCUUUUCUUCUUAUUUUUGCAAUUAAGAUUUCUGACCUUCUGCAAUUUGUUUUUUUUUUAAGUUUCUUCUGUAAAAAAUUCUAUACAUCUUAACCCAAACUGCUAUGUUAGGACAAAGACCAAUUAACUUCAUAAUGUAGCCUUGCAAUGUAUUAUCUCUUAUUUUAGGAGUAAAAUCAGAAUAAUUUUAAAAGUAAAUGAGGUAGUUUACUUCUAAUUAAUUUCUGAAAAUGGGCCACCUAAAUUAACGACCACAUUAUUAAACUUGAUAUAUUAUUUGAACUUUCUAGAAAUUAAAUUUUCUGAUAUUAUGACUUCAUUUGUAUGGUGAUUAUGUGGUUUCAAAUUCAUUUUAUAUUAGUUAUUAAAAAUUAUCAAUUUUGAAACCUAUUAACUGUUAGGCAAAUAAUGUUGAAAAAUCAUAAAAUUUGAAUCUAAAAUGUUCAAAUACAAAGUUUAAUAGUGUUGAUUCGGUUGUGUCGUCAUCGAAAUUAAUGCAAAAAAAUACACGGCCUUAUUUGCUUUUAGAAAUAUUAUAAUGUUGCUCUAUAUUUUUCUUUUUGGGAAUCUCUCUACUAUUUUCAGGUUAGAAAAAAAUGUAUUAUAUACCAAAUUUAUGUUCGCCCAGUGGCUUAGUACUAUGGUUCCUUUUCUGGUGCUUUACAUAUGGAAGAUAAUGUUUUAGUGUUCCAAAUUUAGUCACUGUUGGACUUGAUUAUGGUAACUUUCAAUUGUGGCCACACUUCUGCUGAUAUCUACAAAGUAGGAUGCGUAUUCUGGACAUUACCGACCCAUAUGUCUCAAAAGCUAUCGGGCUUUUCCUUCUUUUCUUUUUCCCCUUUAAUCUUCGGGUCAAAUUAACAAUUAAAAAUGAGUUGGUUCCUACGUGGUGCCGACGUUGACUCCAUUUAUCCAUUGGAUAUAUCUAAAUGGUGUUUGAUUCACAUUCAUGCCACUCAAAAUUUCUAAUUACUUUUCUCAAGCAAGCAUCCAAUGUAAGAUUCUCUUUUGUACAUGGGCAGCACAGUUAGCAUAGUCGGUGCGAGCUUAUAGGCACGGACAGCAUAUGUCCAUUAUGUUAGGCUGAGCUAAUUGACACAAAAGUCUUGUUCUUUUUUUCUUGUUUACGCAUGUAUUUUUGCAUAGAUUUUUCUAAGUGUUGUUUGACAAUAAAGUAAAAGACAUUUCACAUUUAUGCUAUUCAAAAUUUCUAAUUUCUUUUCUCAAGCAAGGAUUGCGGUAUAAGGUUCUUUUUUAUUCGUGCACAAAUACAAAUACUGAUCAUGCUGUGUAGUGCUGACUGGCACAAAAAUAUUAUUAUUAAGUAUUUGCCUAUAUUAUUUUUGAAAAAAUUGAAGUAUUUUACUUGUCAUGCAAUUAAUCUUGUCUAGUCCAACUUAUCUCAAAACUAUCUUUAAUUGUAACCUUAUUAGGCUCAUCUUUCGCAGCCCUACUUCAGUUGUUUCCAACUUUUCUUUUGGGGAGAAAUUUCCAACCAUUCAUCUCAUCACUGAUUUGUUGCGCUUCUUCUGGGUAGUAUUUCUCUUCAUCAUUUUCCUAUCCUCUCUAUCAUUCUUCCAAAAUCAAUCAUAAUCCCCUAUUCCUCUUAUUUUGCAUCGCUUCAUCCAAAUUCAUUCUAAAGUUAAAAAGUACAAAAUGAAAAGCAGGGGUUGCAAAUAUAGUUAAGAGGAAGAAGAUGACAAUGGAACUAAGGCUGGAACUUUGUUCCUCUUUCACGGGGUGAGACAUCGUAGGGACUGGAGGUUCUGGUGAUGCUCUUCUUUCUAUUUAUUAUUCUCUUUUAGAUAGGAGUAUAUAUUUAGGAGAUGAUAAAGAAAUUUGCUUCGUUCUUUAGCUAAUCCGUCGAGUGGAAAUGCAUUUGAGGGCCAUUACAACUUUCAUGUUAAUCUAAACUUCUGUUGUAUAGUUGGCCAUGAUUCAGAUAUCAAUCCUUGCAGAUAGAUGCACACGUAGUGAUGAGUGGAUAUACACCUCGUACAUCUCUCAUAGAUUGUACCAAAAAAAAAAGAGGAAAAAAAAAUUGGGUGAUGUAAAGUGAAAGGGCUCAAAUCUUUUUUUUUCCUGAAUGGAAGGCCAAACAUAUGAUACAAUCAUGCUUUUAAUUUGUGAACUCAAGUAUUUUGUUCUAAUUGCAGCUAUAGGAAGCUAUUGAAUUGGCGGCAACUGUCGGCGUUGCCCACUGAAUUUUAAAUAUUCAUUUACACCUACCCUCAACGUCUAUACCCAAUAAGCUCUUACUUGUGCAUAUAUAUAGGGUGCCAACCACUGCUUUGAUGCUACAUUCUUCAGUACUGAACUUCAGCAAUAGCCUCCUAACUGAACUGAAGCAGGAGAUAUAUAUGGCGUGUUUGAGAGCCAAGCACAUAUUUUUCCUCAUCUUGCUUCUAUCACUUUGUUUUUCGACAGCCCGAUUGUUGGACCGCAAGGAGCUCAUGAAUGCGUCUGAAGAGUCGGAGGCCGGCCUGACGACGACGGUCUUCAGAGGACGGUCUGGAGGAGAAGACACGGCUGACAGCAUCUACGAUUCCAAGCGGCUGAGCCCCGGCGGCCCAGAUCCUCAGCACCAUUCCAUGGGUCCCUACUCAUAUGCAGUUUCGGUUCACAGUAGACCAUGAAAAAUUCGUGUUUUCGUAUUGCCAUUGCGUCCUUGUAAUUGGUAGUCCCAUUUGACUCCGGCAAUAUAAUGAACUUUCUUCUGGUUUCGAUUCACUGUAAGGAAUUGGGAUUCGCUGUGGCAUAAUAAUUUUCAUGUUGAUGGUUCCACGAAAGCUCUAGUUCCAUUGUCUCUUAUCCUUUGUAUUGGUCGUCUUAUGUUUCUGUAGUCGGUUUCUAUUACGAAGAUCGAAUUCGCCUGGGUUUUGAGUAAAGGUGCCUUCAUUCCAGUGUUUCGUUUUGUUCUUACUUCAAACGAGAAACAACAAAAGAACGAAUUCGAUUUUGAUUUCACUACGACUCUCUAAGCAGCAACGAGAAUAAAUACGUUUAUUAAGGCUUCCCCAGCUUUUCCCCAUCUGGCUUUACUGUUAAACCGCCGCCAUUAGCAUAACAUAGAAAAGGCCCACGUAAAACCAGUGCUCAAAUACACGUAUAUUCUCGCAAACUAUGAAUAGUUGUACAGUAUCAUAAACACUACGUUUACUUUUUUUUUUUUUUUUUUUGAGAAUAGGUAGCUCGCUACAUGCUUCAUUCAUUGAUGGAUGAACUAGGCUACAGAGGUGAGGCAACUAGGGCCUCGGAAAAAACCAAAAAACAACUAGGGCCUCNAAAAAAAAAAAAAAAAAAAAAAAAAAAAAACCAGAAGGUACACGUGGUCUAAUGCCAUCAGAGGAGGAUUUCCCACGAAAGUAACAACUGCUUUAUCCUCUGUACAGCCAAAAUCGGAUCUAGUAGGAUGUUUCGAAAAAUCAGAUCAUUUAUGAUCUUUCAAAUGGUUCGCCAACAAGCAAUCAGUUCCGGGAGUCUGUUGCUCUUGUUAUACCGUCCUUUGCUGGUCGCCCACCUAUCCCAGACAUGAUACAUGUCGUCACCUAGCUUACCCCCUUGCACGCCCUCCACCCCCAUGACCAUGAUGAACUUGGUAAAAACAGAUGGUCCACUGACUCAUCAUGGGCAAUGCAAAGCACACAAAGUGUGUUGCCAGUCCACCCUCUCUUUACAAGGUUAUCAGCUAUGAGAGGCUUUUUCUUUAGGACAAUCCAGGAAAAUACUUUGACCUUUAGAGGUAUUCGGAGGCUCCAAAUCUUGGUAGCCCGUCCGUCCCUCGUUCCCCCGUCACUCAACAUGCCGUAGGCCGAUUUGACUGAAAAAUCGCCUUUGGCUCUCCAUCUCCACCAUAACCUAUCCGGUCUCUGCGCGACUUUAUACAUACCAAUCUCAUUCUUGAGAGCCAACAGGUUGGCUGACAGCCCUGUUGUAGAAGCGAACUCAUCGCCCAGAAUUCUAUCCCAUCUCCAGUCCUCACUAUCGAAACAAUCCCCAACCAAUAGGGGUUUACGAUUCGUCAUCGCAUAUAUCUCCGGAAAUGACGUUUCAGAGCGGAUUCCCCGCACCAUCGAUUAGACCAAAAGUCUAUAGAGCUCCCAUUGCCCAAUUUAUAGGAUAUUCCCCAAUUGAAGAUAGCAUUGGUGGUUAGGACUCCCUUCCACCAAAACGAGAAGGGUCUAAAACUUUUUCCUUCCUUUAGAGGUCGUCUUCUUUGGUAAUAUAAAGCUCGGAUAAUCUUGACCCACUGCAGGUGUGGAACUGUGUGAAAUCUCCACCGCCAUUUGACCAGGAGAGCCCGAUUCAUGAUAUCGACAUCCAGAAUACCAAGCCCGCCUUCGAUUUUGCUCACACAGACGUUCUUCCAUGCCACUAAACAUCCCUUGCCAGUGGAAUUCCUAUUACCCUUCCAGAAGAAGUCUCUACGUAUGGCUUCAAUACUCUUAAUUACCCAUUUAGGCAUCUUAAAAACCGAAAGAAAGUACAGCAGUAGAUUGGUAAGAACGGCAUUGACCAAGAUGAGUCUACCCCCUCGUGAUAGAAGCUUGGCUUGCCAUCCAUCAAUUCCAUUCAGCAAUUUCUGAAUGAUCCCUCUCCAUACCUCCUUUGUGGGGGGUUUAGGGGAAAGAGGGAUGCCUAGGUAAGUGGUAGGGAGAGUACCCACUCUACAGUCGAGCAGCUGCACGAGCCUUUCCGCUUUGCCCUCAUUCUGUCCAAGGUAGUAUAGUUCGGACUUCUCACUAUUAAUUUUCAUCCUCGAAGCCCACUAAAAAAGACACCACAUCAAGCUGAGAUUUCGCAUAUAUUUUUUCCUAGCCUCCGAGAAGAAGAAGGUAUUGUCCGUGAAUUGGGUGAGGAUAGUUUUACUUUCGUCAGACGGCCCAAUACCCAUGAAGAGGUUAUUAGAAGUGGCCUCAUUGGUCAUUCUGGCCAAGCACUCCGCCACCAUGAGGAACAGGAGUGGUGAUAACGGAUCUCCUUGGCGAACUCCUCUCUUCAUCUUAAUCCACUUGGUCGCCUCACCAUUGACCAAUAUGGCUACUUUCGCAUUGCACACACAUUGCUCGAUCCAUUCACACCAUUUUAAAUCAAAUCCCCACCACUGGAGGACAUUGAAAAGAAAGGGCCAGUGUAUCCUAUCGUAAGCUUUUUCGAAGUCUACUUUUAUACCGACCCCCUCGAUUUUCUUCUUACUACCCUACCCCAGGAUUUCCGAAACAGUAACGAAAGCAUCAGUGAUGCUCCUCCCUUUCACAAAUGCUGAUUGAGUGGGGGAAAUUAGGUCACUCAGAACCCCUGCGAGUCGAUUGGCUAAAACCUUCGACAGUAUUUUCUGGAUGCCGUUGAGGAGGCUAAUUGGUCGAAAGUCAUUCGCUCUCUCGGCCCCUUCCUUCUUCGGGAUUAGGCAGAUAAAGGUAUAGUCGAUUGGUGACGUAGACAUCGUACCCUCGUAGAAUUCCUAGAACAGGUUGAGUAAAUCACUCUUAAUGGCAUCCCAAAAGAUUUGGUAAAACCUUAGUGGGAACCCAUCCGGGUCCGGAGCUUUAUCACUUCCCAGUUGGAAAACCGCUUUCUUUAUUUCACUAAUGCUGAAGUGUUCUGUUAGCCUCCUGAGCAUAGGAGCCGAAACCCGCUUUGUGGAAAAAAACCCACUCCAAUCCCCGAAAGCAGCCGACGUCGUCACGUCUGGCGAGCAAAGCUCUUUAAAUUUAAGAUAAAAGUAAUCCUUUUUGUCCUUCUCUGUUUGGUAUACGAGUCCGUUAUCGACAACCACCCCAAUCCCGUUGGCUCUUCUUCUUCCAUUAGCUAUACUAUGGAAGUAUUUAGUGUUGGCCUCGCCCUCCCGUAACCAGUGCUGAUUAGCCCGGGAUCUCCACAGGGAAGCUUCAUCGUUAAUAACACGUCUUAAUUUCUCUUUUAACUCGUCUCUUUUCGUGAUCAAUUAUGUUGGUAAUACACCUUGUUUCUCAGCAAGGUCUAUCUCUUGUAUUUCACCCAUUAGGGAAUUUUUUAGCCCUCUAAUACUGUAGAACUCGUUAUUGCACCAUUCUUUAAUAUACUUUUUAUCGAAGAGAAAUGUUAUGUUUACCUCUAUAGUAUAAGUGUAAUAUUUACACUCUUGGCUUUCUAUGACUAGAAUUAACUCAUUAGGUACGUGAGGGUUUAUGAUUUACAGCUUUAUGCGUCAUGCACAGGUAGCAUUUUUCUUUAGAGUAUCACAUUCCAUGAUUCCCUCUUCCACUAUCAAGGAGAGUGCUCUGCAUCAUGCUCCCAUGCAUGCAUGGAUCGCAUUAUCUUCAUCUAUAAUAUACUCGGAGCCUGAUCUCCUAUAGACUAGUAAAAACUCAUUAACACAUAAAUAAAGUGCGUUUUUUGCAUAAUCAAUCCUAAGGAACUUUGUUACCAAGCUCAUUUGUUUAUACGCGCGUUUCAAGUUCACUAGCCGUUAGAGUUCGGUACUGAAAAAGGGUUCAUUAUUCAAAUACUUUUUAGUGGUCACAACACUCUUAAAUAUAAUUUAUACCAAGUUAGUUGGCUUUUCAUAGAUGAUAAGACUCUGUUUGGGAUGAUAGGAAGAUUGUGUUACGUACAGUAAAAAAAUACUCUAUUUAUUUUAGUUCUACGAUCCUACCAAAAAGCAGAAAAAUAUAUUUCUAUAUACUUUCGUCUCAACUCUGUUUUGCAUACCAGCAUUAGAUGGGCCUAAAUACUAAAUGAGCCCGAAGAUUUAACUAGCAACUAAGCACUUUCUUAACGAUGCUUUGGUGACGUACAAAAGGCGAUAAGUACUAAGAAAAGUUCUAUAGAAAAGCCUAAUAAGCUCCAAAUUUUCGCUUGUCAUAGGUUGGACUCACACUUUUGGUUGGUAUGUGUUGUAAGAGUUGCAACCUUUUUCUUUUUCUUUUUUUUUCUGGCUAAUUAAGUUAAGCCAAGUUGGCUUACAUUAAUACACCAAAAUAGAAGAGAAAGUGAAAACGUCUUUGCGUUCGUGUAAAUCCUCGCACAUUGGUUCUUUAGAUUUUGGGACCACCUUAGUUUACAUCAAAAGUAUCCAAUCUUUUCUCUUUUCAAUUUAACUGUAACUAAAAUGCAGUGCACAAAUUAUAAAGGUGGAGAGUUAUCAUCUGCAUCCAUAUAUAUAUAUACAUCUUGUGCACCGCACUUUGUAUUUGAUUAUCAAUUGUCUAUGAAAUUUAUAUUCGGACAAUUUAAGUUGACUACUAUUAGCUAGUCAAAAGCUAAAAAAUAAUAAUAAAGAAUGCAUGGUGGUGAUAUAUAGAUGAAUCUUACUAUUGAUGCCAAAAUAUUAUUUUGUAAUUAAAAUAAACCUCCCACUACAACAAAAACGGUCUAUAGUGACACUUUUAAAUAUAGGUACAUGUCAAAAAAGUGCUGCUAGCUAAAAUUACCGAUACUUUUAAAAAGUGUUGCUAUAUAUGGGGUCGCUAGGUAUAUAGUGACAGUUAAAGAGUAUCGCUAUAAUCUAAAAGAGUGUUGCUAAUUUACCAACACUUAUUUAAGUAUUUAGCAACCGCCGAAACUCUAUCUCGUUGGUUGCGGUGGCAAAGGAGGACGACAGUAAAGACUCUUCGUCUAGAAUUUCAGUGGAUUAAGUGAAGAGAGAAGAAAAGAUGGUAAUUGGUUUUUCUUUUUUUUUUUUCUGUUUGUAAUCGGACCAAAUGGACUGGAUGUGGUGGGUUGAAUAGAGUAAUCUUUUAUUUUUGGUUGGAUUGGGCUUUAUAUUUAGACAUUAGUAGAUGUGUUUUUAAGUUUUAGCAUAAAUGGGACACUUACUCAAAAGUGUCCUAAACAUGUGUCCCUAUAAUCUAAUUCUAUUGUAGUGUCCUUUACUGCAAUGAUUCAGUAAAGAACCAUUCAAUAAUUUUUAUACUUUGAAAUUUGGAUGUAUUAUUUAUUUUUGAGUACGCGUCGACUCAACAAAUUAAACUCGGAAAAUAACUCAAGUAGUUCGUGAAUAGAUAAGGUUAUGGCUAAGGAUAAUGUUUAUUUCCACAAUAAAAGUGUUCUCGUGCAAGUCAAAGCUUAUCGUGUUUACGUGCACGACCCACUCGCGUUGUUAUAUCGCCAUUUGUCUUUGUGUUAGUACGGAGAACUCACUUUUAUUCCACGCCUGUACAAUUCAACUAUAAUUUUGAAACUCAGACCUCAUGGUGUUCUUUUUAUUUUUUUUAAAUAAAAGUUUUAUUUAAGUGCGCACGUUGAUGCAUGCAUGGCUUUUUUAUUUUUUAUUGUUGGCAUUCCGUCAAACCGAAUCGGAUGCAUCUCUAUAUAUAAUCGGGUCCGAUUUGACGGUUAUUAUAUUAUCUAAUUAGACUAGUUUUAAUCUCGUUUUUAAUUCGAAAAGUUAAUUAGAGAUAUAUUUUAGCCAUAUUAAAAUUAAAAACUGAUUUAGCCUAAUUUUCUAUUUUUCUAUUAGGAUGUUGGGAAACCUUAUAGAUAUAUAUUCCGGCAAUUCUUUUAUAAAACAUGAACGAGAAAAAAAAAAAGAAAAAAUACUCAGAAAUUUGUGAGAAAUUUAUGCGACAUUUUGUGGGAGAAAAAAAUCACAUUCUUCAUUAACUUAUUAUUUUUAUAGGGUUUUGAACGGUAGAUUAUAAAUUUAGCUCGUUCGUAACUCGAUCUGCGGCAGGUUGGAGUGUCAGAAAAUCUUCGUGGACGGUCCGAGAAUACAUAAAUCAACCUUUACGAUUCAAAACCUAUCGCAUUUUAGUGCGAAUCGCUUCUGUUAAAAUAGGAACAAAUAUUUUCGCUAUGUUCUAUAUUUAUUAUGAUAGUUAAGUUAAAAUACAGUUCAGUCAGACAAGAGAUGACAGAGAGCUCACUCAAUAAUAAUAAUAAUAAUAAUAAUAAUAUAUAUAUAUAUAUAUAUAUAUAUAUAUAUUGCUGCCAAACAAACACAUUGGAUGUGAGAUGCAAGCAAUUUAUUCUCUACUCAAUUACUCGUACACUCGUUCAUGUAAAAAUUUUAUUCAAUAAAAAAAAAAACAGUUUCAACAAUGUCAAAGCCCUUGAAACUAUUAUUUAAUUACUAGCUCCAUAGCAUUUAGUAAUCUUUAGUAAUGCUUCUAUACAUGUUAGAAGCAUCAAGGUCAUUUAUUUUGUCCAACAAUUCUAAAGCAUGCUGCAAUAGAGCGAUGAUCAUAUCCCUUGAUUAUAUAUGUUGUGAUUAUUGAACGUUUUGAUCUCUAAAUAUUAAGGUUAACCUAAUAAGAAACAGUUGAAGAGUAUUCGACACAAAAUGGUAGAUGAAUCGAACUUCGAAUCUCUUAAAACCAAGAUAACUCGGGGCCGAUCUAAUGCAUAUAUGCUAUAUAAACCUAAAGAAUGCGGGAUUUAGUCUUAACGUAAAGUUCAAACAUGGCUUCUUUAAACACUCCCUCAACAAUGGUUACUAUAUACUAGUGUAGUGACCCGCGCGAUUCGACAAGUAAAUAUAUUAUAAUCUUUUAAAAUUUAAAUUUUAAAUCUUAUAUUUCUAUAAGUUAUUUUGUAGAAAGUAAAACACAUUUACUUUAAAAGUUUUAGUAAUUUUAAAGUAUAUUGAAAAGUAUGAAGAUUUUUUUUUUUUAACAUUUUAGUUUUUUACAUUGAAGCAUCACAAUAGAUAUCAAAUCACAUCUAUUUCCGACAAUUUAAUUUAGAUGCCUUAUUAUAUAGGUAGUGACGUGUAGAUUUAAUCAGAAACAAUAGAAAAUAUAUUUAGCAAACAAAUUUCAAUAUAUCCAUUAGAUUGCGCUAAGUAUGGCAUUAGUUUGUAUAAUAAUUAAUCAUUUCAAAAAUUCUAAACCCUAAUAUAAACAAAUCUAUCAAAAUUUUCAGUACAAUCAAAUCAUUAUACAAUCUAUAUCUAUACCUAUACAUUAUUUUUCAUGAAGUCUUGCCACGUGGCGGUCCCUCCUUUAUCCUUAACCUUCUCCUCUCUUCUCUAAUCACAACCCACACUCUUCAUCUCCCCACCGAGUUACUAACGCAUCAUUAAUUUUAAUAAUUACGAUCUUAAACCCACAUUCUUCAUCUCCCCACCAACAAGUUACUAACGCAUCAUUAAUUUUAAUAAUUACGAUGAUCCACACAAUUAGCAUCACUAAAACCCCAUCAUCAUCAUCUCCUCAUUCUCCGAAACCAAAUACCACACUCCAACAAUGUCCUAUGUUACAAACCAACUCUUCUUUCUAUUAUUCUUAUUAUUAUUCUCGAACGCGAGUACGAACCCGUCAACGCCAUUCGGGUCGAGCCAUGAUUGUUCGGGCGCUUUGUUUAGGUUCAGCGAAUGCUUAGAGUUUGUGGAGGGCGGGGCGAACGGGGCCGAAUCGGGGUUGCUGCUCCGGGCUCGGUCACGUGCUUAGCCGGAGCGUCACGUGCCUCUGCUAGACCAUACGAGAAGGGGCGAGGCUAGACGUAUCCGUGAACGUCACCAAAGCUCUCGCUUUGCCCUCACUUUGUGGGCUCUUCUACACGCUAAUAGUCCCCUAUUACAAAAGUAAGAGGUGUAUUUUUUUUAUGGUCCAAUUUCAUAUAUACAAAUUGCUUUCAUAAGAAAAAAAAUAAGUAAAAUAAGAUUUCUUCGUACUAUUUUUUUUUAUUUUUUUGGCGCAUAAGAAUGGUUCAUAUUUUAUAAUUUUUUAAAAUUUUUUUAACUUUUUGUUUUUAAAUUGUAUGUGUACUGAAAUUAGGGUUUCGUGGAUUAUAGUGCAGCAUCGCGGGGGAAAGCGAAGAUAGAUUUGGAGUCAAUGAGAGGAAAGAAGUGGUAGGUUUGGAGAGAUAUGUAGGGAAUCAACGUGGCUGUGACGAAAAAGAAGCUCAACGUUGAUAAUGGCGGCAAAGGUAAUGUGGAGAUGGGGAUUCGUCUUCCCGAUGUCGGUAGUGCGAUUAAGAUGCGUAUGGAGUAAUAAUUCUAUUGCUGCUUUUUUUAUUACUAUUUUUUAUAAUUUAUUUACUGAACUUAUAAAUUUUGUUACAUUUGUACGUAUAUCUGUUUCAUCUCUUUUAUUUGUGUAUAUGUUAAUAUAUAUUAUCUUUAUUUAUUAAUGUCUUAUGGCAAUUCAAAAAAUUUAAAAUUUUUACUUGUGAAUCUUCUGUUUUCUAUAUAUAGCAUCAGCCUGCCGCAAUGCGUGGGUAACUUCACUAGUGGAUACAUUAUAAUUUGUAAAUAAAUCAAAUCAUUAUACAAUGGAGACAUUAUGAUUUAUAAAUAAAAAUAAAUAUAAAAAUUUAUAAUAUAAUAACCAAAAUGCUGGAAAUAAAUAUUAAAAAAAUAUAGAAAUUCUAAAAAAAAUUUACCUUAAAUUGGAAGAGUCGAAUCCCACAUAAUUUAAAAUAUAUUAUACGGUAGAAAAAUCUAAAUAAACAAAUAAAACAUCAAAUUCAAAUAAAAAAAGAACCUUUCAAAUUAAUCGUUAUAUCAAUUUUCUUGAGACAAAGUAAACAAUAUUUAGUACAUCAUUUCUUAUUCAUCCAAAAUGAGUAUGAGUACAACCCUUUGUAUAGACUCUAAAUUGACAUUUCAUAUUCUAAGAUGACUUUUUAUUUUCUUUUAUUAGAAUAUAUGGCUUUUCAUAUUCUCAACUUUUUAAAUUUUUAGAUAUAUUAAGUUUUCCAACCUUUUAAUUUCUAAUUAAUUUUUAAAAAAUAAUAAAAAAAAUUGGUGGGACCCACAUUCUUAAUUUAAGGGGUAGUGCAUGGGGCCACAUUUCCAAAUUAAAAAAAUGAUGAUCUAUCCAUAUAGAAAAAAAAAUGAUGAAAGAAAAAACACAAUUAAUUUGAAAAAAUAAAAAAAUUGAUGGGACCCACACCCUCAAAUUAAGGUGGUUGGGUCACAUCAACUUUAAGAACAUGAGGAUUCAUAAUUUUAUAUAGAUAUAUAGAUAUAGAUAUAGAUAUAGAUAGCUAUCAUUUCAAAUUUCAAAAUAGCUAGUAUAAUAUAAUUCUAAAGUGAUCGACCGUCCCUAGAGCAAGUGGCAAAGGGUUUGAUGGUUGGUACCCGAGACCCAAGUUUGAAUCCUAAUUGAUUCACAUUUCCAGCUAAAUUUAUUUUUAAAUGAAAUAAAUGAAGCAGGUAGCGUGUUAUCCAUCUCUUAAAAAAAAAAAAUCUAAAGUGAAGCGAACCUUUCUCUUUGCAUGCAUGCAUGCAUGUGCAUGCAUUUUACAAAUUAAAUUUUUUAGGUAGAUAGAGUUAGUAGACCAUUCGACUACUGGUCGGUGAAGGAUAAGAUUCUUACAACAUUUUCACUAUAUAUAGCUUGUCGACCUACUAUAGGCAUGCUACUAAAGGCAAGACGAGGGGAUUAGUUCUUAAUUACUAGGUAAAAGUGUUUUAGCUUAUCUGAACCAUAAUAUUUUUUACUCUGACUGCCUAAUUUUUAAAACUUUUUAUUUGGUUUUUGAGCCAUUUAAUGACUCUUUUCACUUUAAAUUUGAAUGCACCAUCUAAUUUUAUGAGCUUUAGAUAUUUGUGGAUUGAGAUUUCAUGUGAUUACAUUUCUAUUAAAGAAAACAGUGCGCUCAAAUUUUGCAGCAAAAAAUGUGGCUCAAUUUAACUAAACCAAUACAAAUGUGAGGCACUAAAAUUAAAAACUUUAAAGAUUUAGUAGUGAGAUUCAGUUACGUUCCAUGCACUUUUAUCAUUUAGUUUAGGUAAAAAUGUAUAAAACAUAUCUCAACUAUCAUCUGUUUUAAUCUAACUAUAAAAUUUUUAAUUUUACUAUCUAAUCUUUGAAUUUAUUUGAUUUGAGUCAGGUAGUGAUCCUUUCUAUUCUUUACAAAUUUUAUUAAUAUAUUUUCAUGUAAUUCAUGCACGUAACUAUAAUUUCAUUAAAGUUAGCAAUUAGCUUAAAUUUGGUAUCCAAAAAAUAUCAAAUUAUUUAAAUCUAACAAUUAAAUUGAAAGAUUGUGCAUUAGAAUCAAAAUUUUGAAAAACCGGAUAGUGAAAUCAAAAUAGUCUAUAGUUCAGAUAAGUUGUACAUAUAUAUUUUUAUCUUUAUUUUAUUUGAAGAGUGGCUAUUAAUUAAACGAUAGAACGUCAUAAAAUAAGAAAUUAGGGUUUUAUUAGGGUUUUAGAGUGGUUACCCUACACGACACUGCGUGGUGGAAUUGCCGUCCUUAUGAGCCAAAAAGGAACCGAGCCUGCUCUACUAUACGUACAUGUUGUUUAGAUGGAUAAACUUAAUUAUAUAGUAUAGUAUAGUAUAGUAUAGUAUAGUAUAGGUGGCUACUGUUUCCAAAAGAAGGAAAAAAAAAAAGAAAAAGAGCAUGUUGUCUGGAUAGAUAAACUUAAUUAUAUAUUACAGGUGGUAACUGUUUGAAAUAAUUUAUUACGGGCUGUUAUAUAUGGUGGGAUUAAUUAUGUCGCUAGUAGGUUUAUGACUUGCUUGGAUAUUUGUAGGCUGGCAAUUUAGCUCGUUGUUCACAAGUCAACUCAUAAUUGGCUUGAAAAUGCACUCGACAUUGAUCACUCAUUUGGUAAAUGUGUCAAAUAUGAGCUAAAUUUUAUGUAUAUAGAAUCUAGCUAUACUAUCCUAUUAAUAGGAUGGAGACCUUCGUCUUAUCAAGUCGUUCUUAAUGAUAGAGAUGCCGAAUCGAUAAUCCGAACUAUUAAAAUUGAUCUAGGGUAUUUGAAGUAUCUAGAAACUAAAUUUUAGAAAUUUUAAAAAUUAUUUACAUGGUGAUCAAAGGAUCGUAAAAUCGACAAUUUUUAACGACCUACAUGAACCGUUUGCUUAUUUAACGGUGCAGAACAAAUCCAAAUUGUUUGAAUUUUUGAUAAAUUUUGUUUAUACUAUUUAGAUAAUAUUUGAUAACUCUGAUCAUGAAUUGAGAAAGUCUAAUCUCUAUUUUAAGAAGGAUAUUCAUUUAUGACCGUUCAUUUUUCGACUAUUCGAUAGACUUGAUAAUGAUUUUUAAAAAUUACAAAAUUCAGUUUUUAAAUAUUUUUAUAGUGUAGAUUAAUUUCAACGGUACCGAUUAUCAAUUUGGAGUGUCGAUCAUUCAAAACAACUUGAUAGGACAAUGAUCUCAAUCCUAUUAAUAGGAUAGUAGCUGGACUCUCUCUCUCUCUCUCUCUCUCUCUCUCUCUCUAUAUAUAUAGAGAGCUAGGCUGGUAUACUAUCAGUAGCACGGAGGCCUCAGUGCUACUAAGUUGUUUUCAAUGAUGCAGCUUCCAAAUCGACGAUCGGCUCCGCUAGACUUGAUCUACACUAUUGAAAGUAUUAGGAAACUAAAUUUCAUAAUUUUUCGGCAUCAUUUGGCUAGUUAUCAAAAGGUCUCAAAAUUGACAAUUUUGAUGGUAGAUGUGAUGUGUUUGUGAAUUUAACGGUGUAAAACAAUUCAAAUAUGAUGAAAUUUUUAUAAAUUUUUUUUUUUCACUAUUUAGAAUAAGAUCAGUACCUCUGAUCUUAAAUUCAAGUCUUUUAUCAUCAUUUUUUAGGAAAACUACUCGUUUGAUAGAUAAAUAAUAUCGAAAAUUUAUGAAAUUUAAUUUUCAAAUAUUUUCAAUAGUGUAGAUCAAGUCUAACGGAGCUAAUCGUCGAUUGGGAAGCCGCAUCAUUGAAAACAACUUAGUAACACGAAGGCCUUCGUGCUAUUGAUAGUAUACCAGCCUAGCUCUCUCUCUCUCNAUAUAUAUGUACUAUUUGAAUUUUAGCUCAAUCCAAAUGUGAGGUGGCCUUUAUUUUUGUGAAUUUCAAUUAUUAAAUUAAGAUUCUAAUUUUUUAAUUUUCUUUCAACUUUUUACCUUACAGUAAGGCUAACAAUCUAAUUUGAUGUUUGCAACCUAGCUCGUGAUUGACCCAUUAAUAAAUGAGCUGAAUUUGUUAGCUCGAUAUGUUAAUAGGGUAGUUCGUGUUCGACUUGUUUAUUAAACGAGUUGAAAAUGAGCUGCCCCAGCUCGCUCGUAUUUGACUCGUUGACAAUCCUAGAUGUUGGAAUGUGCUUACUGUAUUUAUAAGGGCUCAAUUUAGACAUCUGAAUAAAUUAUCCAAUGAUAAUUUAUUCAACAUAAAAAUGUUUCUAUGUGAUUUGAAACAACUAAGUUUGACAUUGACUAGUGUGGUUAAGUAGGUGUUUGGUUCCAUACAAAAUUAUAGAAAACUAUUUUCGAAAGUAAAUUAUUUUAGAUGAAAAAAAUAUUUUAUGGUUCUCUAUGUUCGGUUUGUAUGAAACAGAAAACUUUUUUUUUUUUUUUUGAGAGAUAGGUAACACGCUACUCGCUUCGUUUAUUUCAUUUAGAAAUAAACUUAGCUAGAAAUGUGAAUCAACUAAGAUUCGAACUUGGGUCUCGGGUACCAACCACCAAGCUUUUUGCCACUUGCUCUAGGGACGGUCGGUAACAGAAAACAUUUUUGUAUCAUAAUUUGCAGUAGCCCUGCUCUCUCUCUAUAUAUAUAUAGUAUAAUGUAUAAUGUAUAAAAUUCUAUAAUUUAAAUUAAAUAAAUAAUAAUUAAAGAAGUAGUUGGCGGCCAAAAGUGAUGCAGUUCAUACAGUUUGCGUCAACUCGGGACCCUAUCACCUAGACAUUACUGGGCCUAGGUUUUCCCCCUCAACUUUUUAUUUCCCGCUCGCGGAAAAUAAAAAACAUUCUUUUUCUCAUUAUCUAUAAAAUUAGAUCACAUAAAAAAAAAAUCUAUUCAAUUAAGCAUUUUGAAAUUUUUACAUUAAUACCGACCGUCCCUAGAGCAAAUGGCAAAGGAUUUGGUGGUUGGUACCCGAGACCCAAGUUCGAAUCUUAGUUGAUUCACAUUUCUAGCUAAGUUUAUUUCUAAAUAAAAUAAAUGAAGUGGAUAGCGUGCUACCUAUUCCUCAAAAAAAAAAAAAAGAAGAAAUUUUUACAUUGAUUCAAACAGCUCCUAAUGCAAUCAAUGUUUACCCUAGGGUUCCCAAAGGGUCAGUCAGGGUUCAAAUCCUUUCUUAUACAAGAUUUCUUUCUAGUCUUCAAUUGAUGAGUUUAUUCAGUCUGUAUCAUUCAAUUGAUUGAAUAAAACCGCCUUAGGGCAUGGUUUCCCUCAAAAAAAGAAAAAAAAAAAAAAAACAAAGAACCUACCUUUGUGCCUAGGGAAUGUCAAUGGAUUUGGGUACCAACAUUGUAUUCAAAUUUGGAUCCAAUGGAGACAAUUUAGAAUGGGAAUAGUUUUAAUCACAGAGAUAAUUAGAUAAAUAUUCAAAACCCGACGGUUUUACUUUUGAUUUUUGUUUACAUCUGAUAUAAAAUCCAUUGUACUUUUAUUAAUCGAUAUAUUUUAGAUAUUGUAAUGAUAAAGCUUUCUAUAUUGCAAUUUUAUUAAAUUAUAAAAACUCAAUUUGAAUUUUGAGAUUUUAAGUUAAAUUUUAAUUUGGCGAGAUCCGGGCCAACCAAACGGUCAUGCCCUUAUUUGUUAUAGAUCCAACUGUAUUUAUUUUCAUUAUCACUUCUACGUAAGUUUUCAGUGGCCUUUAUUAUUUCUUUUUUCAGUUCUUAUUCUAAAUCGCGAUUACUCUAUAUAAAACACAUUUAGUAAUACUAAAUGUGUUGCAGAUUCAGAAGUUUCAAAUUUAAUUAAAAUUUGAUUCUUAUAGAGGUGCGAACUGUUGGAUUUGGAUCGUGACAGAUAUUUAAUCUAAUAGUUUAUAUAUAAUAAUAAUUUAAUUUAAUAUUUUAGGUUUAGGCUUUGGAUAUGGGGUUUAGGGGUUUUCAGUUUGUUUAGCGGGUUCAAUUUUGAUUUUGAAUUUUUAUAGUCCUUUCGAUAUAGGUACGAUUGCGAAUUUUGAUUUUUAGUUCGGGUCGGGUUUUGAAUUUGAUAAAAACCGACCCGAAAUAGAUCUAACUUGGCCCAAUUUCAAGCACCUCCAACCCAAUAACCCAAAUAUAAAGCAACACUACUUUUGCUCGAAUUUCCAUGGCAAAAUUAUUGGAUAUGUCCCCGUACUUUCCCAAUAUUGCAACUGCGCCCUAUAAUUUUAGCUACAUUAGCUCAAUUUCAGAACUUUCACAUAAAUUAUAUUUUUAUUGUAGAAUUUUUAAAAAUUUAGAUUUUAUUUUCUUUCUUGUGAUGUGAUGUAAUUGGGCCAACUUUUCUUUUGUGGGACUCGGAUUUUUUGUUCUAUGAUAUCCUGAUAAGAAUAAGACUCUGAGCCUAAUAAAUGGGAUCUCCUGUAAAAAAUUUUAGUUUAUUGAAAACAAAGUGUGAACAAAAGUUUUAUUUUGAUCCCUAUCUCUUAUUUUCCUCCCCUCUUAUAUCUCUUCUUUUUCUCCCCUCUUCUGAUUUUCAAUCCGAGAAUGUAUACUAAGGAGAUUAUCACGGAUUAUUUGCACAAAUUGCUCUAGUUCAGUUAUAACAUAAUUUGGACCCAGUAAACUAAAAUAUAUUAUUUUGUAUAUUUUUAUCUUAAUAGUUUAUAUAGUAUUAGAUAGUCCUCAAUGCCAAAUAGACCUCUGAGCCUUGGUCCAAUCGCAUGCCCUGCAGUAGGAAAAAUUCUAGAAUGCAACGGGUAUAUUGAUAACGUGGCGUAACAGAUUAAUCAAAAAUUUUCUUUUAAAGAUAUAUGCCCAUCAUGAUUAUAAAAAAGUAUUUUUAUUGUACUUUUGUUUGAAAAGAAAGAAGAUGAUUGGCUUAUUAUUAAUGACGUAAUGCAAAUGUGAUAGUGUAGGAUUCCUCCCACUGUAGCCAAGUUUUGGAGGUUAGAACCAAAUUCAAUGAUGAUUGGUAUUAAUUGCGUUGAAGCUUCCAUUGCUGAUAAGAUGUUGCCAUCUGGAAAACAAUUGUUACUUCCAAAAGAUUCAAUUAUUAAAAAACAAAACUUUGAAAGAAGACUGAUUGAAUUUGAACAACCUAAAGCACAAAUCUGAAUUGAAAAAAAAGACUAAAUUAUAGAAAAUUUUCACGUCAAAAUUUGAUUUUUACUUUUCUCACUUGUUGUUCAAAAUCCUACACUUUGCUCCUUUAAAAGUAAAAAAAUAUUUACAGAAAAGUACAAUAUUAACUCUAAUGACAAAAUAAUUAAAUUGCCUUUCAUCCUCUUCGUCUUCUCUCCAAUACUGCUUAUCCGCAGCAUCUCCUCCCUCGUUCUUCACACUUCUUUCGACCCCAGCUCCGACUCUAUUUUCUUACCUGUUGCUUCACUCCUCCGACACCCUCGCCGCCCCUCCAAUAGAGCAACUGUAGGGAGGAGAUCAUGGUGAGCAUGGACGGAAAGGUGGGCGAGGGCGAGAGUCAGGCGGCGGAGGAGGGCGAGGGCGUAUGUGUGGGUACGGAGAUAGCGGUGGGCGAGAACGAGACGGCGUAGCCGAGGAUGUUGACAAGGAAGGCAGAGACGCAUAUAAGAGGAGAGUUUAAAGGACAUUUUGAAUAUAAAAAAAAAUAUAAUAAUAAAAUAUAAACAGAAUUCUAACAGGACACUAAUGACAGGACCGAAGUAUACAUUCCUCAAUUUUUAAGGGGCCAAAAUAUAGGUUUUCAAAAGAUGGUGGGAAAAAAAAAAAAAAAAGGUAUUGACCGGAGAAUUUUUUAUAACUUAACAUUAAAAAAAUAAAAUUUGAAGUUAGAAUCUUUUAUUUUGAUAUCUGUGCAUCAACUAUUUUCUCUAGAAGCUCACUAUACUAAGGAACAAUGUCUUAGUAUCUUAGAAAUAAAAUGCAAUAUUGGAACCACCCAAACUACAGCUAUUUAGAGACUGCUAUUUAAGCUGUAAGAUUUUGAUAUUUGACACCUAAACUUUAAAAUUUUAAACUUUAAUUAAGGGCCUAAAUCUGCAUUAGUUCCAUUUAUUAACUUAGGGUGGUGAAUAUUAGUCGAAUGAUCAGGGAAAAAAUGAACAAUGACUAUUAAGGUGGAUCGACCAUUUUGGUAGCCAAAUCCAGUUUUGUAGCAAAAAUAUUAAUAAUAAUUUUCAGAAUUUAAUUGUUAAAAUCAAAUUAAACAAUUAGCAUCAAUUAUACAACCAUGGGGCUGUUUGGUUGGUUGUAAUUGUAAAUAUUACAAUAUAGUUAAAAAUAUAGUAGUUAUAACUGCACACAAUUUGGUUGGUUUUAUAAAGAUGCAAUUGCUGUAGUUGCAUUUUCUCAAUUUGGUAAUAUGAAACUAAUAAUUGUAUUUGUAAAUUUUGUCACUUUUUCGGAUAGAAUGAUGAGAAUAUCUUCACUAUAUAUAAUAUAAUUAUAUAAUUUUAUUAAUCAUUUAAAAUUGUUAUCUAUAAGUAAAUAGUGAUAUAUAAUAUUUUUAUACAUCUUUAAUAAUUUUUCAACUUAUCUAUCAAUUGACACAACUUAAAUUUUUCAAUCAAUUUAAUUUGGGAAAACUUCAAAAAAAUCUCCAGUGGUUUCGCACUUUUUUAUUUUAAUACCAUGUGGUUUAAAGUGUAUCAAGUUAGUACCUAUGGUUUCGCACUUUCUCACUUUAAUACCCUGUGGUUUAAAGUGUAUCAAGUUAGUACUAUAUGGUUUUAUUUUUGUAUCAAGUUAGUACCCUAUGGUUUUUAAACCACAGGGUACUAAAGUGAGAAAGUGCGAAACCACAGGGUACUAAUUUGAUACACUUUAAACCACAGGGUACUAAAGUGAAAAAGUGCAAAACCACAGGGUACUAACUUGAUACACUUUAAACCACAUGAUACUAAAGUGAGAAAAAGUGAAACAACAAGGGAGGUAUUUAAAGUUUUCCCAUUUAAUUUUAAGAGAUCCACCAAACUUACAAAAUUAUGAUUCUCUCUAUUAUUUUAUCAAAUUGAAUAGUUGUAAUUACUAAAAUUUGUUAAGUUAACACUCAUAAUCAAAUUCUAUGAAAAUUUACGAAAAAAAUUACUUUUAUAUUGUCAAAUGAACCAUUUUUUUUUAAAAAAAAUUACACAAUGAUUGCGUUGCAUGCAAAUUAACUUUUAUUGUCCAAGUAUUUAUUAACAAGUAUUUUUGUUUAUAUAUGUACAAGUAUUUAUUUAUUUAUUUAUUUGUUAUUGUUAAUUAGUGGGUGAGAUCUUAUCCCUCAUCAGCAACUGAAACUACAGCCAAUUUGAAUGUAGUUUUCACUACAAUAUUUGAUUCUUCUUAUGUAGUUGCAACUGCAAGCCAAACACAAAAAUUAAGUAUGUAUGUAUUUGCAACUGCAGUACAGUUAUAACUAUAUAUAGUCAAACAAUCCCUCUUCUAAAGCUAAAUUUUGGCAUAAAAAAGAUCUAUCUAUGGUGGCGGUGCCCUUCACCGUCGGUGGUGUGUGUGCUCUCCACUAAAAUUCUUGAUCAUUUGGCUGCGCUAAAGCCACAAACAAGCAAAAGUUCAGGUGAUUCAUAAACAUUUAACACCAUAUUUUAUUUUCAAAAAUUAUAUACCUGAGACUGAUUCCAAUUAAUCAAAAAGAUUACUAACUUUUUGAUUUUGCGAUAGCACUAUGUCCAUGUUAUAGCCUUUUAGUGUUCCAAAAUGCUGUUGGCUUAAAUAAGCUUUCUAUCUUGUGGCAGAAGAUCAAGUGGGUCGAGUCACAUUCGAAAUGGCGUAAGGCCGGGAUAGGCCAGGUCAUGUUUGAAGUAACAUUAAGGCUGGGAGGAUCAAGUCACAAUCGAGACCUAUGAACGCUAUAUGAUAUAUCUGUACGCUUUAAGUGAAUUGGUUGUAUAUUUCUAACGGCUCGAGCUUUUGAGAUUAAUACUUAGUGCCAACGACGUACAACAUUUAAUUUUAAUAUUCUCACUUUUCAUGUAAAAAGGAUGUUCAAUCUUAAUAGACUCGCGUUUUGGCAAGCUCCUAAUUAAGGUCAACAAAAUCCUAAGUAUAAUGGGCGUGGCAAAUUGUUUGCAAUGCAAAGGACAAAUUGAAAAGGGUACCGUUAUUUAGUUAUGUAACGAAGUGGCAUCUAAACGACAAGCACUCCGUAAAGUUUAAAGCUCUGAUAAAUAUAGGAUUUUAGAACCGUCAAUUUCGCUAACUAGGCCUCUAAACUUUAUCAGAAAGUUUAAUAGAUCUUGGAUGUCGACCACGUGAUUUAUUCAAGAUAAUUUAUAAAGAUAUAAUCGAUCCAACGGUUAAAAUUUAUUUGGGCACGUCCUUAAUAAACGGACAUGAUUAAAUAUCCUUACAUUAUAUAUAUAUAUAUAUAUAUAUAUAUNAAUAGCUCAUCAUGUCAGAAGCCUGAUUCUAUGCCAGCGUUGCCAAAAGGAGCAAGCAAAAGACGCAACUUACAAUGGCAAGGAUGCAGAUGAGGCAGAGGACGUGAGAGCAAGAACUCCAAAACACACAAUUGCUAUGCUCCGAGCUGCUUUUUUUCGCCUUUCUUUCUCAUUCAUGUCAUCUGCAACAUUUAUAUACUACAAGAUUUGAAUUCCAAAUAGAGGCCUGAUAUGUCAGUAACCUUAGGAAUAACUUUAAAUGGCAAUUAAAUCUAAUUGAAAGAGAAUAUUUGACUGCAAAAAUGAUAAGUAAGAUACUUGUUGACUGUCUAAAAAUUUGGAAAAAUAUGUGAAGGUGUAGGUCCAAGUUCUGAGUGGUUCCAUUAUCAAGGUGCUUUAUGUGCUGAAACAUGCAUCAGUAAGUCAAAAAGAAAAACAGGCGAAACUUGUAGGGUGGUACGGUUUGUGGUAAGAAUGGAUUUCACUCCGCUUUCGAAAUGCUUGCUUUUCUAAUUUCUUAGUGUGCUUUUCAUGGAAAAAGGAAUGAAAUAGAUGUUGAUUACUACUGAUCUUAUUCCAGGGCACAUCAUGACAUCCAUUAUCCAUAUCAUGCAACGACCCGACCCGCUAGCAAUAAUAACUCGUUGGGCCCAAACCAUCGGCCCAAAAUACUUAAGCCGGGUUAUUAUUACUAGUGUCUAAGUCUCUUAUAAACCCAAUGACAACUCCAUUCCCAUCCGAUGUGGGAUUAUUGGGGUGUCACAGACUCCUCCCAUUAAGACCCUGACGUCCUCGUCAGUCACACAUACAGCCCAAGAUCACCAGGCAAUGUGAGACUUAUCUCACUAGCCCGUCAUCUAGACCCUGGCUCAGUCGAGACUCGCCACACAUGUCCAGCUGGUGAGCCGGCUCUGAUACCAAAUGUAACGACCCAUCCCACUAGCAAUAAUAACUCGUUGGGGCCAACCACAGCCCAAAAUGCUUAAGCUCAGUUAUUAUUACUAGCGUGUAGGCCUCAUAUAAACUGAUUGAAAUCAGUAUCCCAUCCGAUGUGGGACUAUUGGGGGCGUUACAAACUCCCCCUGUUUAGACCCUAACGUCGUCGUCGGGUCCAAACCAGAUCAUAGACAGACAGACCGGGACCAUUACCAGAUGAUGUGAGAUUCUAGAGGAGGCUCCUACGGGUUCAAGAGGUGGAUCCCACCAAACCCGUUGGUGUAGCACUUUGUCCCGCAUAGCACUUAGUUCUCACACCUUCGGCUGGUAUUCAGCUCUGAUACCAUAUGCAACGACUCGACCCGCUAGCAACAAUAACCCGUUGGGCCCAACCACCGGCCCAAAAUGCUUAAGCCCAGUUAUUAUUACUAGCAUGUAGUUCUCAUAUAAACUGAUCGGAAUCAGUAUCCCAUCCGAUGUGGGACUAUUGGGGACGUUACAAAUUCCCCCUGUUUUAGACCCUCGUCGGGUCAAAAUCAGAUCAUAGACAGACAGACCAGGACCAUUACCAGGCGAUGUGAGAUUCUAGAGGUGGCUCCUACGGGUUCAAGAGGUAGCUCCCACCAAACCUGUUGGUGUAGCACUUUGUCCCGCAUAGCACUUAGUUCUCACACUUUCGGCCGGUAUUCGUCUCUGCCCUGAAGCAUGAAUGUCCCGAAUCUGACUUUCUUUUCAUCGGUGCACUGCAUAGCCGUAAAUGCUUUUUCCAUCUCCUUGAUCCAAUUUUCCGCUUCAUCCGGAUUUGUAGCGCCUGAAAUAGGUGGAGGAGCAGACUUCUUAAAUUCAUUAAUGCUCCUCUCUCGAACUCUGGAACUUGACUCCGCGGCACUAGGAGCUGGACUUUGUUGUAAAUUUUGUUGUUGAGUCUGAACUAGCCCGACCACAGCUUGUUUCAGGGUGGCGACUAGGGGAUCCAUUGUGGUGCUCUGCAGUAAAGUGGCGGAGUGGGUGGGAAUAGUAGGUUGUGGCGGCGGAGGAACAAAACCAGAAGGUACAGUCAACGGCGGAAACGAAAAGGUAGUGGGAGCGGCCGUCGAAGGCAUCCCAGUACUAAAAGUCUGCUGUAGAGGUGGAGCAAACGUUGAAGGGUUCGUUGGAGGUGCUAUGGUUGACUGUAGCGAAUUCUGAAUAGUAGGCGGAACAAUAGUAUGAGGUGGAACAGCUGCCGAGGAUGUGGUAUUCAAAAGUGAAGCUAGGGUGGUGUUCAGAUAUGCAUCUCCGGAUCCGACUGGAGGUGGGUUCCUCGGUUGCUUGUUGUUGGUGUUGCCAUGGCGGGACGGACGCACCACCAUCUUAACAAGAGAGGGGAUCACAAACAUGUAAAGCAAGAUGUUAACGAAAACUGUAAACAAUAAUCAAAUAGGAUCAAACACGCGCCUACUUUUACCCAUCCUCACACGUCCUAAUAAACUCUCACAGUCCUAUACCUUAAAAGUUACAGUAGAUCUUAAACCUUGUAUUCUCUGAUACUAAUUGCAACGACCCGACCCGCUAGCAACAAUAACUCGUUGGGCCCAACCACCGGCCCAAAAUGCUUAAACCCAGUUAUUAUUACUAGCAUGUAGGUCUCAUAUAAACUGAUCGGAAUCAGUAUCCCAUUCGAUGUGGGACUAUUGGGGACGUUACAUAUAUAUAUAUAUAUAGAGUCCAGCUAUGGUGCUUGUAAAAGCACCAAGCACUUGGUGCUUGUAAGUUUUUUACCGUUAGAUCUACUUCUCGGAUCAUUUUCAACCAUUAGAUUAUACUAUUCAACCAACCACUCACUCAACCCUAGGGGGCCCACAUCAUCCUAACCGCAUAUCUCUUAAUCCAAUGGCUAAAAACCUAUAAGCACCAAUAACUUGGUACUUUUAAAAGUAUAUGAGCUCAAUUCUAUAUAUAUAGAGAGAGUUUGACUACUAUACUAUUUAUAGUACUAAGUCCUUGGUACAAUUGAGUUUUCUACCGUUAGAUCUACCCUUUGAUCAUUUCCACCCGUUAGAUUAUACUAUUAAACCAAUCACUCACUCAACCCUAGAGGACCACUAUCAUCCUAACCGCACAUCUUUUCAUCCAACGGUCGAAAACUCAAUAGCACGUACUAAGAGGUUGGUACUAUUGAUAGUAUAGUAGCAUAAUUCUAUAUAUAUAUAUAUAUAUAUAUAUAAUAAGAGUUCCGAUCUAACUUUAAUUCUAAUUUUUCGUGACGGUUCUAUCUCCGGAAAUAUGAAAAUAGACUCAAAAUUUGUUGCUCUUUUACAGAUCAUAAAUGAGAAUGAACCAUAAGGAAAAAUCAUUGUCUACAAUUCGUAUUUAGAAAUCGAAAUCAUACCAGAAGUACGGAUUUAAUUUUCAUAUGGUUUAACACAUUCUUCUUAAGAAAAAAUGUAUAAAAGCUAUCUAAAUUAUGAGCUAUUUUAAUUUUAUUAUUCAAUUUUUUAAUUUAUUUGAUUUGAAUCAGUCAGUGGCACUAUGACUUCAAAAUUUGAAUGUAUAAUCUAUUUUUACAAAUUUGUUAGUAUAAUUAUGUAAUUCUCGCAACUAUAAAUUUAUUAAAGUAGGUAAUUAACUUAACAUUUAAAAUUAAAGUACCAUUGACUGACCAAAUCAAACAAAUUGAAAAGUUUUAAUAGUAAAAUUAAAAUUUUGAAGAACUACGUAGCCAACUCAAAAUGGUCCAUAAUUUAGAUAAAUUUUAUAAAUUUUUACCUUCUUCUUGAGAAAAGUUACUUGUUUAAUAUCCGUUCUAGAGAAAUAUCUUUACAUGCAAUCUAAUGAACCUUCAAAGCAAAUUAAAAUUUAUCUAUUCUAUGCUAAUCUUGAAAUAUAUAUAGAGUGAGGCUACUAUGCUAUCGGAAGCACGGAGCCUUCCGNAUAUAUAUAUAUAUAUAUAUAUUAAAAUCAAGGCGAAAAGGAAUUUAGCUUAUUCUUCAUUUUUUAUUGUUGGAAGCGUGAUUUGCUCUGAUACCAAUUGUCGAAACCGGUAUUUGUGCUGAUACCGAUUAUAACCCAGGAUCUAAAGUCGAACAAAAUAAUAUGGAGAAAAGAUAUUGGAGGAGAAAGAAGAUAACUAAACAAAUAUUUUAGUAAUAAAGAAUAAUUAAUUAUAUCCUGGGCAACACCCAUGCAGUCAUGUCUACUGUAGCUUUUUCAUCUUACUAAUCUAUGCCUAACUAUAUAUAUAGCUAUUAAGUCAUAACAGAUGAUAAAUCCAACUUUUACUUUGGAUAAUUAUAAAUUCUAAUCAUAAUCAAUAUAGAAUUUGGAUAAACUCUAUCUCUAACUAUUUUUUUAAUUAAGUUUGGAUUAUUAUUUCCAACAUCCAGUCUUAAUCCAAACUUUAUUUUCAAGCCGCGAACUCUGUGAAACGUGCAUUUGAUUUUGCAAUCUCUAUCUCUUUGUCGCUAUCAUCAUGUUCGAGUUGUGCAUCAUAACGCAUGUCCAAUGAUAUUGUCAUGAGCAGAAUCUUUACCAUUUGUAGACGUGAUUAUCCAUAUCAUUCUUAAAGAUUUGUGAAUUCUUGCAAAUAUUUUGAAAAACAUGUAAUUUUAGAAAGAUUGGAUCAAUUUAAAUGUUGUUAUUUUGUCGUAAUCGAGGAAAGUCUAAUGGAUAUGGAUAUUUGUUCGGUGCAUUGAUUUCGAUUUGUGCAUUCUCGUGUGUUUUAUGCUUUCGUAAAUCUAAUUUGUCAUCUGCAUUUUUUAUCACAUUAAAAUAAUGGUAAACUUCCUCUCUACUUUGCACUUUGCUGUAUAAUUUCUUAAUCAAUUGAAAUUUUUUCAAUCAUAUAAUCAUUAAUUGUGAACUUUUUCGUUGGCCCGAAUCGCAUUGUUUUGAUCAUUAGCAUAUUCUUUACGAAUCUGAUCUUCUUUAUGAUUUUGAUCAGAAUUUUCUUUUUAUUUUUUUUUUUUUGCAAAUUGGGGCUUCUAUAUUUUCCCCAUUGGAUUGAAUUUUUUCUUCUUCUUCUUAAAUUUCAUUCUCGUAAUGCAAAUUUUCUCCUCUAAUUUUUAAUAGCAUUCUUCACACUUCUCAUGUUGUCUUUGCUAUUGAAAUUUUUUCAACUAAUGAUAGAUCCACUGUUUGAAAAAUAUAUGAUAGAGCUUCUCUAUCUCUUUUUUAAAAUUCUUUUUUACCAAAUUCUUUCUCAUAAUUAUUAUUCUCCACUGCAUCCCACAAAUCUUAAGAUUCUAAAAAAUAUUGAAUGAUGAUUUUUUAUCGUUUAACAUUCAUUCCAUCGAACUUUGGUAAGUAAGGUUGAAUAAACCAAUUAUCUAAAUCCAUAACAAAAACUUAAUAAUCCGAAAAAUAAAUUUCAGAUUUGUAUCUUUCUGUUUGGAUGACAUCCUUAAUUCAUCGAGAUCUCGCCGAAUUUUCUGUAUUUCUACUUGCUUGCCUAGCCCUAAUGGCUAUCUGGUCAAGUCUCCUCGUAUCUCUUCACGGGCUCUCCUCGCUCUGUUUUCGUCAAGUGUCACAACCACCUGCUGUCACGUGUUGUGCGGAGGCCAACUUUUUCAAAACGAUUCCUUCGCUUUGGUUUCACCUGAACAUCACCUUCAUCGAUCUGCUAUAAGUCGCUUGACUUUGACAUAGCUAUCCGGUACAUUAGUUCUAUAUUUUUUUCGAAUAUGCUGCCAUCUGUUAAGAAGUCGCAUGAUACUUUGCAACUCUGAUACCACUUAUUGGAAGCGUGACUUACUCUGAUACCAAUUAUCGAAAUCGGUAUUUAUACUGCUACUGAUUAUAUAAUGCAAGAUCUAAAAUCGAACAAAAUAAUAUGAAGAAAAAAUAUUGGAGGAGAAAGAAGUUAACUAAACAAAUAUUUUAUUAAUAAAAAAUAAUUAAUUACAUCCUAAGCAACAUCUAUGCAGUCAAUUUUACUGUGCCUUCUUCGUCUUAUUCAUCAAUGCCUAACUAUAUAUAUAGCUAUCAAAUCAUAAUAGAUGAUAAGUCUAAUUUUUAUUUUGAAUAAUUACAAAUCCUAAUCAUAAAUCAAUGUAGAAUUUGGAUAAACUAUAUUUCUAACUAAUUUUUAAAUUAAGUUUGAAUUAUUAUUUCCAACACUUACACUACGUAGGUGUUUUGUUCGGUGCGCAUUUUGGAGCUUCAUAAGUUCAUCAAUAAAAUAUGCCACUAAUAAGGCUACUUAAUUAGUAACUUCGCUUGCGAAGAAAGGUUAAUAAAACUAUUUGAUAAAUUUUCGGUGGUUAUGCAACUCUAGACUUUACGAAAGAAAGGUCUAAACUUUUUAUAUAUAGUAUGUGUUUAUCCCUUAAUCCCAAUAUUAUAUGUUUCUAUAAGUGACAAGGUACUAUGACUAGACCUUCACAAGACACUCUUUCCAUAAGAGCAUGCAUUUAUACAAAAAUUAGACAAAAGAGGCAAAGAAAGGCCUUUAAUGCAAAUCAUACAAGUAUAAAUUGCUAUUUGCUUCUCUGGCCAUUAUUAUUGUCUACCAUGCAUGAAGCUUAAAAAGAAGAAAAUGGCUUGUGAUUGGUUGCAUGUUUCCACUAUUCAUAUAAUUGGUCAUUGCUUACAAGAACAUCACUAGCUACAUUUUCAGCAAAAGGGUUGUUCAAAAAAGGGGGGGAAAAAAAAAAGAGAACAUGAGGAAUUAAACAAUUUAUAAUUCGGUUUCUUGCAUAGAUAAUAGAGGCCUACUUUUUAAGAAAUAAAUUUGGUUUCUUGUGUUGUCGAUCUCUUGAUCAUAACUUGUAUUAGUGGAUAUACUUUUCUCCAUCCAUGAAAAAUUUUAUCCAGUCAAAAAAAAUGGCCGCGCUUUCCGACAUCGCAGGUGCCUAAUCACCCAAAAAGUUUAGAUUUAGUAUAUAUAACGCAUUAUUUUGCAGUUAAAUUCUUGUUAGAUUAGAAUGAUGGAUUAAAUUCAUAAUAGUAAAUCCAGUAGAAUUGCAUGUGCCUGGUUUGCUUGUACCUGGUGCAUAGAUGCAUGGAAGAAAAUUGCUAAUGUCACACCCUGGGCCUACAGCGGAAAUCUUCCGGGGACGUGCACAAACUCGACGAAGAUAGAGUUUUCUAUACCCACGAAGCGUCCAACAAAAUCACUACAACAGAAUUAGAUUAUAGGGACACAUGUUUGGGACACUUUUGAGUAAGUGUCUCAUUUAUACUAAAAUUUAAAAAAAUAUCUACUAAUGCCUAAAUAUAAAGCUCAAUCCAAUAAAAAAUAAAAGAUUACUCUACUCAACCCACCACACUCAGUCUAUUUGGCCCGAUUACAAACUGAAAAAAAAAAAAAAGAAAAAUCAAUUACCAUCUAUAACCACGAAGCGUCCAACAAAAUCAACAUUAACAACUCCAGAGUCCACAACUAAACACAAAGUUAACAGGUUAUUUGGUUUGUGGAAAAAAAAAAAUUUCCAGUGUACAAUUCCAGUGUACUACAGCUAAGGGGCUAUAUAUUUGGUUUCACGUUUGAAACUGUGGAAAAAAGUUUUCAACAAAAGAGUUUUCAGCAAAAAAAAAAAUUUUAUACUCUUUAUGUUUGGUUUGUGAAAAAAAAAAAAUAUUUUCCAACCACAUUUGUUUGGUUUAAAGAAAACGAUCAAUAAAAACUAAUUUUAUAUAUAUUUUUCCUAUUAUAUUUCUUUUAUGCUUUUUUUUUGAAAAAUAUAUUACAUGUUAUUACAUAUUAUAAUUGCCCUACUACAUAUAUUAUUAUUAUUAUUUUUGUAAAUUAAACGCAUUCUAAAUAAUAUUACGUAAUAUAUAUNUAUAUAUAUAUAUAUAUAUAUAUAUAUAUAUAUAUAUUGUAAAUAAUAUUAUACAAUAUUUUGUAUAAAAAAUUAUAUAUACAUACAUUUUAUAUAAAAUAUUGUAUAAAAAUAGUACAAUACUAUAAUAUAUAUCAUAUAUGUAUAGAGUUCACGUAGUAUAUUAUUGAUGGUAUAUGAAUAGUGUUUACUAUCUAUUUUCUAAUCAUUCUUUGAAUUAUUACUGUUUCACCAACCCCCACUUAGGGGUGUCCAUGGAUUGGAUUCGGGGCGGAUUUUUAAAAACCCGAACUUGAACUAGACUCGAAACCCGAAACCCGAACCUAAACCCAACGGAUUUUAAAAAUCCAUACCCGAACCUAAAUCUGACCAAAAAUCUAAAACCCGAACCCAAACCCGAAAAUCCGAACCCAAAAUAAUUAUUUCUCUUUUCAAUAUUUCAAAAUAUUAUUACAUUAAAUCUAAAUUUUUAAAAUACAAAUUCAAAUAUAACACAAAAUUUUUAUAUACAUAUUAUAUAUAAUGUAAAAUAAAUUCGGGUUUGGUUCGAGCUCGGAUCUGGUAUAGUCAAAAUCCAUAUAUGAAUUCAUAUCUAUUGGGUUUUUGUUUUUAAUAUUCAUAUUUGAAACCAUAUCCGUUUAGCAUCGAAUAAAUCCGCUACGUUCGGAUUCGGGUUCGGAUAAAAUUUUGAAUAUAGUACCAUUGACAUCCCUACUGUGUGUGUACGUAGAGCUACUACGCUAUCGAAAGUAUAGAGAAUUUGAUGCUUUCGAUUUUUUGACUCUUGGACCAAGAAUUAUCAGUUCGGAUGACUACGAUCCCCUCUAGGUUGAAUAGUAUCCUUAGGAUUUAGUGGUCCCCACGGGGUAAUACUAUUAAUCCAAAGAUUAGAAAUAAUUAAAGGGGCUGAUCUAAGGGCCAAAAAGUCAGAAGCACCAGAUCUUCUAUACUUUUGAUAGCAUAUAUAGUAGCUCUAAUCUACACUCGGUGCUUCUAAAAGUAUUCUAGCUCAAUUUAUAUAUAUAUAUAUAUAUAUAUAUUAUAUAUAUAUAUAUAUAUAUAUAGUAGGUCUGUGGUCUAUUAGGAGCAGGAGGCCUUCGUGUUCCUAAGCCGUUUCAGACUAUGGUGGAGCUUGCGAUCGACGAUCGACUCCGUUAGACUUGAUCCUAGCGUAUUUGAAAUACUAAAAAAUAAAUUUAUAAUUUUCGAUAUCAUUUACUUAGCGAUCAAAAGGCUCAAAAUGUUGUAACUCGUAACUGCCCACAUCCCAUCUUCCCAUGUGUAACUAAUUCCACCCUACCUUUCCUUCUCUCUUACCCAAUUCUUUCUUUCACCUUGCUCUUCCAAAAUUUUUUUUUAUUCAAUUUCAAUUUUAAAUUUAAUUUUUUAAUUAAUUUUAUAAUAGAAAAUUAUUUUUUUAUGUGAGUCAUUUUUUCCUAAGUCGUAAUUUUUCAAUAAAGGAAAAAAAAUUUAUGUCAGACAUUUUUAUAAGUAAUUUUCUCUAUAAAUUUAUUUCUCAAAUUAUAAUAAUAUAUAUAAAUAAUAUAUAUAUAAUAUAUAUUAAUAUAUAUAAUAUAUAUUAUGGGAAUAAGGCUGGAAUACUAUCAAUAGCACCAAGCUAUUGGUACUAUUAGUUUUUUAGCCUUUGGAUUGAGAAAUGUGUGGUUAGGAUGAUGUGUGCCCCCUAGCGUUGAGUGGGUGGUUGGUUGAAUAGUAUAAUCUAACGGAUAAAAAUAAUAAAAGGGUUAAAUCUAACGGUAGAAAACUCGAUAGCACCAAACCUUUAGUGCUAUCGAUAGUAUUCCAACCGGACUCUAUAUAUAUAUAUAUAUGAGUAAUGUUUCUAUACUUGUUAUUUUUCGAUACCGUUCAUUCAUUUUUAUUCAACAGCUCAGAUUUAAUUUUUUAAAAAUUGUGACCCGCAAUAGUAGGUCAUUUUGAGAAAGGUACCGAUUACCAGGUACCCCAAAAAAAAAAUAUUUUGAUCUUUUAAUACAUGAAUAAUUUAGUAAUUAAUUUUACCUUCAUUAUAAAAUAUAACAUGAAACAUUUAUAUAUAUUAUAUAUAACGUAAAAUAAAUUCAGGUCCCAGUCGUUUCAGGUUCGGAUCAAAUACAAUCAAUAUUCAUACCCGAAUUUAAAUCCAUCGGAUUUUUAUUUUUGAUAUCCAUAUUCAAAACUAUAUCCAUGUAGCAUAGGUAAAUCCAUUGCAUUUGCUUUCAAGUUUGGAUUUGGAUUCAAAUAAAAUUAUAGGUAUCUGUAUCCAUUGACAUUCGCAAUCCACAGAUAAUUUGUUAUUUCAUAUCCGUAAUUCACAGAUAUUUCAUUAAAACAUAUUACAACAUAUUAAAAUACAUUGAAUUUAAAUUUCUUUUACCUACAUUCAAAAUUUUUUAAAGUUUGUGAUAAAAAAUUAAUAUCUAAACUAGAGGAAUUUAAAAGUUUCUUAAAUAAAUUAAAUAUGUUUUGUUUCAUUUUAAUUAUACUUUGACAUACUGCAACAUUAUCUUUCUUAUGAUCAGUAAUCUGAUACUAAUUAAUCAUUUUUUAAUCCAAUAUUUAUCAUCUGUUUUGAUUCAUUUGUAUAGAGUUGUUUAAAAUUUUCCUUUGUUUUCUCUAAAUUUUUAUGCGUUUGCUAAAGGUGCACAACGCGGGCACAUUUGCUACUCUACCAAUAAAUGCGUGCUUUUUUUUAGUGAAGAUAAGAAAUGCAGGAAACCAGAUAUUUAUGCAUCCAACACUACAACAUAAUUAAGUUAUAAGGAUAUAUAUUUGGGACAUUUUUGUGUGUCCUAUUUAUGUCAAAACUUUUUAAAAAAAUCUAUUAAGGCCUAAAUAUAAACCUCAAUCAAACCAAAAGUAAGAGGUUACUCUACUCAACCCACCCUACCCAGCCCAUUUAGCCCAAUUGCAAACAGAAAAGAAAAAAAAAAAAUCGAUCACCAUCUCCCCCUUCUCCUCUUACUCAAUUCACUGAAACCUUAGACGAAGAGCUCUUCGCUUUCCUUCUCUUUCGCCAUCGCAGCCAACGAGUUAGAGUUCCGACGGCUGCUAAAUGCUUAAAUAAGUGUUGGUAAAUUAACAACAUUCUUUUUAGAUUAUACCGACACUCUUAAACUGUCACUAUAUACCUAGCGACCCCACAUAUAACAACACUUUUUAAAAGUAUCAGUAAUUUAGCCAGCAGUACUUUUUUGACCUGUACCGAUAUUUAAAAGUGUCGCUAUAUAUCGUUUUUGUUGUAGUGCAAAGAAGAUCUUAAGUCCGUGACAGAACAGGGGGAUCGUCAACCUAGCUCAAGAUGGAAUGGCAACAUAAAUAGUACUCGUAGCUCGCAAUUGCUUGUACAAAUUAAUGUAUACAUGCACGUGAUCUCUAUAGCUAAUGACCCUUUUUAGGCUAAUAUUGUAUCUAAAUCUUUGCUUAACUGGAUUUCAACUGUAUGAAAAAAAAAAAAAACAAACAAAAUGGCAACAAGUUAAUUAUAAUUGCAUCCUUAGGCUUGGUUGUUCAUUGACAAAAUAUAAUUAAGAACCAAAUUAGCCUAGAAGAGCUAGCUAGAGAAGUAAACAAGUGAAGAGCAUGCACUAUGGAUAAUGAUGGAAUAAUAGCUUGACGUGCACUUUGCUUAAUAUGGCGCCGCAGUGAGACAUGGCAUGCAGGAAAAGGAAAUGAAGAUUAAGGGAUACAUUAGUGGCCACUAGGAUGGAGAUUCUUUGGAGCAAUUAUUGAUCCAUUGCACUUAGGCAUGUUUGGUUCGUCCAUUUUUCAUGCUUGAAAUCGGAAUCGGAAUAGACGAAUCCGUUUGUCCGUAUUUGGUAUGCAAGAUUUCAUUCCGAUUUCGAUUUCCGGGUGAUCCGGGUGAAUGAGAAUCUCCUAAUUACCCUUUUUUUCAAUCCAGCUUAGAAGAUCAUAUUGAAAAUUGAAUUCGAGCGGAAUGAUUUGUUCGAAUUAAAUUUAACUUUUUUAAGCUUAUUUUUUAAACAUAAGUUUAAGUUUAUAAAUUAUAUUUAUAAAUUUUAGUUUUAAUUUGAAUUUAAAUUAAAAAUUAAAAUUCAAUCAAAUAUUUCGAACCUAAUUCAUAAAUUUAAAUUUAAUUUAAAAUCUAAAGUUUUAAUUAAAUUUUAUUUAAAAUUUAAAUUUAAAAAAAUUAUGGAUUCAAAUUGAAUUUUAAAUUAUAAUUUUAAGUUUGGAUUUGAAUAAAUCGAAAUUUACUUUUAUAUUUUGAAUUAUCCUUUCAAUUGCAAAUUUUAAUUUUUUUUAGAAAAUAUAUUUAAAAUUUUGACAUCAUCUUAAAAUUUUAACGUAAAUUUUUAAUAUUUAAUUUUCAGUUUGAAUUUAAACUAAUAUAUUAUAAGGAUAAAAUUGACAUAUUAAUUUGAUUACGUUUCUGAUAUCUAUCUGAACCAAACACCGACAAUGAAAAGAUUCAUUUCGAUUCCAAUUCAGGUGGUGAACCAAACAGAAUGAGGUAAUAAAUUAUUCCGAUUCUAAUUUCAGUUUAUUCUUAUUUUGAUUUCGAUACCGAUUUCAAUUUCGAACCAAACACACUAAGUAAUCUUAUACAUCGCAGCUACAAAACCCUAUGAUAGAGUCCUCAAAAUAAGCAUUUAAUUUGUUGGUUCUAUUCUAUAAUAUUCAGAGGACCUGGAUAUCAAGUGUUAUAAAUUUGGAUACAUUUUUUUUUUUGCAAAUCAAAUAAUGUCACAGGAGUAGUUUGGAAUUAUAAUGUCUAAACAGAUAUAUUUUCAUGUUUUCAAUGGCCCCACAAAUUUGAAACAUAAAGAUUUUUUCUCCAAUACUAUAAAACGACGACAAUGAAAAUCAUGCCAUCAUUAUUUCCUAGCACUGGAGAGGAAAGCCCAAAAAAUGCUUUCAAUCUUCUUUUAGCUUUACAAACUAUGCAAAUUAGUGCUUUUGGUAAAAAAAAAAAAAAAAAAAAAAAAACAUUUUGUCAAUACAGUCACUCACGCGCAUUUUUGGUCAUCAAACUAUAAAGGCACAUGAUGCUAUAAUCCUCAAACUUUAAAGAGUUAUUUGAUUGCAUAUAGUUGCAGCUGUACUGUAGCUAUAACUGCAUAUAAGUACAAAUUCGGUAUUUAGUUUGAUAUAUUUAACUUCAACUAUUACAGUAAAAAUUACGCCCAAAUUGACUACAGUUCCAACUGUAACAGUUGAAGAAAGUAACUUUAAGCAAAAAGUAAGCUUUCCUUCUUAAAUAUUCUUUCAAUAAAAAAUAAAAAAAAUUCUACUUUGGAGGCAAUAUUACCACCAUAUAUAUAAAAUGAUAAAAUUUUAAAAUUCAUUUCUCAACUGCAUACAACCAAACAAAUUAUUUAUAGUUGCAGCGCUUUCUAUUACAUCAUAUCAAAUAUGAUACAUGUAGUUGCAACUGCUGCAGUACCAACUGCAUGCAUUUUCAAGUACACUGCAUUUGUAAUUACAUUUAAUCAAACUGUCCCUAAAUCAUUGUGAUUUUUAACUCAAACUAUGAAGCACGUAUUUUAGUCCUUAAACUUUAAUUAGUUGUAAUUUUUUAUUCAAAUUAUGAGUUACAUGAUUUUUUUAGUUCUCAAACUUUCUAAAUUGUGACAACAUCCUCCUUGAUGAUGUAAUAAUAAUUAAAAUACAAAUUUAUUUAGAUAUUAGUAAUUCGUUAAUAUUUAUUUUAAAAAAAUUGAAAAAUUCCAGAACUAAUAUGUCACAUAUUCUUUAGUUUGAGUAAAAAAUUGUAACUAAUUAAAGUUUAAUAAGAGCUACAGUGUCACACAGCUCAUAAUUCAAGUCAGAAAUUACAACGAAUUAAAGUUUGAAAACUAAAUUGUCAUACGUGGGAACACUGAGUGUAGCCCACUUAAAAGGCUAGGUCUCUAUAAAUACAGAUAGAAGUGUGAUACUCUCAAGUACACACAUAUUCACCUGCUCAAAUAGCACAGCAACUAUGGCGAUUCGCGUCGAAUUGCUGCUCAUUUUGACGAUCGUAACAUUCGAGCUCGUCGCGACGGAAGCCCGCGUAAGAGCCCGUGAAAUGGCGUCCUGCGAACAUUCGACCGACGGAGCGGGCGGCGGCGGCAGAGUCCAGGCACUGCAGGCCCGGCUACGGACGGAUGAACGGCGAGGGAGGAGGAAUCUGAUGAAUUAUGACAGUAAGAGGGAAGUCCCAGGUGGGCCUGACCCUGGACAUCAUCGUUAGUUCACAGCAUGUAUGUAAGAUUUAGAGGUUAAGGGGCUGUUUGGUCUCUCGAAAAAGUAUGAAAAAAAUUUAAAAAAAAAAUUAUGUUUCAUCUUAAAAAAAAAAAAAAAAAAGUUUUUGUCCUUUUGGUUUAGGAAAAACAACUUUUUUGAAAAUUUUCUUUUCAGAUUUUAUGAAAAACUAAUAUUUUUAUUUUUCUAAAAAAAAUGAAAAAUAUUAAUUUGCCGAGCAAUUUGGAAAACAAAUUUUCGAAAAAACUAAUUUUUUUGAAACCAAAAGGAUGGAAAAAUAAAAAAGAGAUUUUUCAUGGUAAUGCUUUUCUCGAAAAAAAAAAAUUCCAUACUUUUCCGACAAACCAGACACCCCCUUAAGUAUUGUGUGAUUUUGAUUAAUUAUAUGAGACUUACCUGCACUGCACUUUGUAUUAUUUGUACUUUUUAGAUAACUUCUGAAAUAUAGGUCUUUUUGAUUUAGAUAUCCAACCUUUCAAAUUUUAAUUUUAUUAUCUGACCUUUUAAUUUAUUUGAUUUGAGUAAAUCAAUGGCACUUUGAAUUCAAAUUUUGAAUGGGUUGAUUAUCCUCACAGGAUUAGUUAGUACACUCCAUGCGAUUCUCACAACUAUAAAUUCUGUAAAAUAAAUAAUGAACUUAAAUUUUGAAGUCAAAGAAUCGUUGUAAUAACUCAAAUCAAACAAAUUGAAAGAUUGGACAGCAAAACUAAAAUUUUAAAAGUUCGGAUAGCUGAUUCAAAAUUGUCUAUAAGUCAGAUAAGUUUUGUAAGUUCUUACUUUUUGAAAAAUUUUUUAAAAAAAAGAAAGCAACUAAAUUUUCUUUUGGUUACACGCCUUGCAUCUUUUGCCUUGGGUUUUAAAUGACAAAUUGAUGGUUUAUUAUGCAUGAGCAUUUACUAUGUACCCUGAAAAUCAGUACACCUUAGCUAGUUAACUGGGGCAUGAAUCUUUAUAACGAAACAGAAGUGGUGAUGAUGUUUGAGAUUAGCUUUAUAAAUUUCAGAUGACCUAUCUACAACAGGCAUAUAAGGUAGUCAGGGUCUUGUACAAUUAGUUCUCAUUUUUCUUCAAAAAGAUAGUUAUUUUUGUGAUUAAUUGGUCGUGCCUAUUAAAUAUAAAAAUAUUUAAACACCGUUCUCUAACAGCUUAAGCUUUUAGAGUACAAGAGUACAACGGUUGUUUCACAUGGUAUCAGAGCAGGAGGUCCUGAGUUCGAGUUACGCCAGACUCCUAACAUAUUAAUUUUCCUUCCAUUUAAUUCAAGCCCACGUCAUGGGCCGAUUAAAAAGUCUCGAAACACCGUUCUCUAACAGCUUAAGCUUUUAUAGUAGGUUGUUUCACAGUGCCACACCUAUGUUAUGAUCGUUAGACACAUCACUGCAGGAGCAUGUUAUUUAUUUAGGUUUAAAGCAGAAUAUAAGUUAAAAAAUUUGAGGUCAUGUGGUUUUCGAGUAGGAUUGUCAUUAAUCAGACUGAGAAGUGUAAAUGGGCUAAACCAUGUUGUUUACUUGAACUCAGUUGAAAAAAAAAGAAAAAAAGAAAAGAUAGAUAUUUCAUGACAGAUUUUGUCAGGCUUGGUCCGGCCCGGUCUAGUCUGGCCUGUAAAAAAACUGGGCCGAUCAAGCUGGCCAAUUUGGAUAAAUAGGAUAAAUUAUUGUCUACAUUCUAUGUAUGGAGUUGAGCUCAUGUAUUUUUAAAAUCACGGAACUAUUUAUGCUUGUGACUUUUUAGUUAUUGGAUCUUAACGGUGUGUCCCAUUAAAUUUUCUUUACUAAUGCAGUAUGAAUUUUAAAGCGAUUUGAUAGCUAAAAAAUUAUAGGUACGUUGAACUUCUAUGCUUUUAAUAGUGAAGGAGCUCAACUCCCUGGGCGUGUUUGGUUCGAAAUCCGAAUCGGAAUCAGAAUCAGAAUCGAAAUAAGCUGAAAUCGGAAUCGGAAUAACUCAUAAUCUAAUUCUAUUUGGUUCAUCACCUGAAUCGGAAUCGGAAUAAAUCAUUACUAUUAUUGGUGUUUGGUUCAAGUAGAUAUUAAAAAUAUAAUUAAAUUAAUAUACUAACUUUAUCUUUAUAAUAUAUUAAUUUAAAUUCAAAUUGAAAAUUAAAUAUUAAAAAUUUACAUCAAAAUUUUGAAAUAAUGUCAAAAUUUUAAAUUUAUUUUUUUUAAAAAAAUUAAACUUUGAAGUUGAGUGGAUAGUUCAAAAUAUAAAACUAAAUUUCGAUUUAUUCAAAUUUAAACUUAAAAUUAUAAUUUUAAUUUUAAUUUGAAUCCAUAAAUUUAAUUUAAGUUUUAAAUAAAAUUUGAAUAAAACUUUAUAUAAAUUAAAAUGUAAUUUAAAGUCAAAUUCAUAUGUUAGAUUCGAAAUACUUGAUUAAAUUUUAAUUUUUAAUUCAAGUUCAAAUUAAAAUUAAAAUUUAUAAAUUUAAUUUAUAAAUUUAAACUCAUGUUUUAAUUAAAAAAAGUUGAAAAAAUAAAUCUAAUCCGAAUAAAUAUCCAUUCCGUUCGGAUUCAACUUCCAAUCUGGUCUCCUUGGCCGGAUUGGAAAAAGAGGUGAUUGAGGGAUUCCCAUUCCACUCAGAAAUCGGAAUCGGAAUGGAACUCCCGCUUACCAAACACCCACAAACAGAUUCGCUCAUUCCGAUUCUGAUUCUAGGGUAAAACAGAAACGAACCAAACAUGCCCCAUAUGUAUGCAUUACAUACACUGCACCUCUAAAACCCUAUGAUGAGUAACUCUCAUUAUAUGUAUAUUUUAUAGCAUUUAGAAGACCUGGAUAUCAAAAAUAAUAAUUUAGGCAUCGAUUUUAUAUUGAUAUGUUGAUUAUUGGGAGUACUUUACAGGAAUUUUUUAUAAAAUUAUUUUGUGAAAAUUUAAAAUUUGCAAAAUGACCCUGUCAAAAUUUUAUUUAGAAAACUAAACCUCCUUUCGCCACGUCAGAGCCAUAGCAGAAUUUCUUUUAAAGACGGUAAAUCGUUCCCCGCUUUCUCCUAUUUCUUUUAAAGGUGGUGAAUCGUUCCCCGCUUUCCGCUUUCUUUUUUUUUUUAAAGACAGUAAAUCGUUCGCCGCAUUCAUUAAAAUUGUGCGUGGAUUAUAUAAGAAAUAGAUAAAAGUGAGAUUGUUAGGAUUAUAUGCGAAUCAUUAGAAUUUUUAUUUGAUUAUUAGGAUUAUAUGGAUAGAUUAUUAAGAUUUUCAGGCUGUUAAGAUUAUAUGAAAUUAUAUGGAUAAAUUAUUAUGAUUUAAAGGUUGUUAAGAUUAUAUGUGAUUUGUUAAAAUUUUUAUGUGGUUGUUAGAAUUAUAUAUGGGAUAUAGAAAGAAACAGUAAGUGAAAGGCGGUGAAUCACCGCCUUUAAAAGAAAUGGGAGAAAGCAGGAAACGAUUCGCCGCCUUUAAAAGAAAUGGAAGAAAGCGGGGAACGAUUUACUGCCUUUAAAAGAAAUUCUGACAUGGCACCGACGUGGCGAAAGGAGAAUUAGUUUUCCAAAUAAAAUUUUGAGAGGGUUAUUUCGUAAAUUUUAAAAUUCUAGAGGGUUGUUUUAUAAAAAAGUCCUACUUUACAUGUUGAAAAAAAAACUAGAAGAAAUUGCAUAGAUAAUUCUACGGCGUAGUGAUGUUGCAUAUUAAUUAACACCCUUUAAAUGAUGCAUGAAUGUUUUGUUUGGUGUAUCCUUAUAAUUCAUUUAAAAAGUUUGAAAAUUUAGUAGAUAAGUAGUGAGAUCAAAUAUUUAGAAUUGGAUAUUAUAUUCAGCUAUUUAAGUUAUUUUUUCAGAAACGAUAAGUCAUCUCGUAAAUGAUAUAUAACUAUCUUAUCAAAUUCUGAAUAUCAAAAUUUUUGAAGAAGCAAAAAUCAAACUUUUUUUACAAUCAUAUUAGAAAAUUCUUAUGCUGAAUGAAUCAUCUUAUGAUAACUUAUCCAAACUACCAAACAGUACCUAAGUACAUGUUUGGUAUUCACAAUUGGAUUGGAAGAAUAACACACAAGGAUUGAAUAGGAUUGGGAGUAGGAUUGGAUUGAACAAAUGAUAAUCCAAUCUAAUACUUGAUGCGUUUGGAAUAGCAUAUAAAUUGGAUUAUUUAAUAAAAAUUCAAAUUUAUAACUAAAAUCGAAUUCGUAAUUUAAUUUUUAAUUUGAAUUGAGAUACUUAAAUUCAAAAUCAAAAUUUUCGUAGAAGUUAAAAAGUCAAAAUCUGAAAUUAAACUUGAAUUCAAAUAAUUUUAAUUUUGUUUGAUUUAUCACUCUAUUUGGAGUGGGUUGGGACGAGAGCGAAUAUUUUGCAGAUCGGGAUAGAUCAUACGAAGGAAAUAGCAUAUCAGCAAAAAUUCAAGAUAAAUAUUUUUUUUAUUUGUAGUUCUCACUUAUCAUCUCACUCGGAAUGGAUCGGAAUGAAAAGCACUAGCAAUCCAAAACCAUUUGCAUCCCUAUCUACUAAGAAUGUCAAUAGGUACAAAUACCAAAAUUUUAUUCGAACCCGAAUCAAACCGGGACAAGUUUAUUUGAUACUAAAUGGAUAUGAUUUUAGAGAGACGGAUAUAAAGAACGAAAACCAGACGGAUUUGGAUCAAAUAUGGAUUUUGUCCCUACCGGACCCAAACUCAAGCCCAAAUUGAUUUUACAUUAUUAUAGAGUGGAGUCCAGCUAUUAUACUAUCGAUAGCACCAAGCGCCCGUGCUAUCGAGUUUUUCGUUGUUAGAUCUAUCUCUUUGACCAUUUUCACCCGUUAGAUCAUACUAUUCAAUCAACCGCUUACUCAAUCCUAUGAGAUCACUAUCAUUCUAAUCGCACAUUCCUUCAUUUAAAGGCCGAAAAUCUAAUAGCACGAAUGACUUCGUCCUAUUAAUACUAUAGCGUAUAUGAAUGUUCAAUGUUAUAAUUUUACUUUGUAUUUUAAACUUUGAAAUUUUAAUAUAACAUGUUCUGAAGUAUAAUAAAGAUAAAAAAUUAUUUCAAUUCAAAUUUUUAGGUUUAGAUUCUGAUUUCGAAUUAUUGAUCAGAUUUGAGUUUGGCUAUAAAUUUUUAAAACCUACCCGAAUUUAAAUUGGGAUUCGGAUUUCGGAUUCUGAUUAUGAAAAAUCCGCAAUCGGAUCCAUCGACAUCCCUACUACCUGCACCUACCUAGAAAGUAAAGAAAAAGCUUCUGUACUCUCGGUCGAUCUUAUCCCCCACCGACCCACGAGAGAAAUAAAGAAAGUCUCCGAAGAUCUGCGAACUCAAACUCCCUACAACCACCAAUGUCUAUUUUUUCUCCAACCCGGUCUCGUGUCACUUCUUCAUUGGCUAAUCAUAAAAUUUUCAACCCACUCAAAAUACGCCACGUAACCAAAGUUGGCACGUCGUACAAACCGACGUGCAUAAUAUCCGACCACUUUUCUGUCCCACGUUAUCAUCGCUUUCAACUGUUCCUCUGCACGGCUUUACAUCAACAGUAACUGCUGUUGAAAUUUAGUGAAUUUACUAUUUUACCCUCCCAACAACUAGAAUUUCUGCACGAGUAUGAUGACGUCAUAUGUCUAUUUCCAUAAAUUCGUACGAAGCCACAAUUUAUUGGGACGAACCCGCGAGCCGUUGGACCGAGGUUUGGUUUCGUGACUUUGCCUCGGAGUCGUCACGUUUUUUCUUAUUGUGCUAAAUUCAUUGGAUAGUCCCUGUACUAUUCUCAUAUUGCUGAACAGCCGUUGCAAACAAAUAUUUUUAAAAUUACACUUUUUUACGAUUUAAGUUUAUAAUUAUUUAUAAAAUUUUAAAUUCUAAUUAUUUAUAAAUAUUUUUUUCUAAAUAAAAAUUGAAUAAUAUUAUAUGGCCAUUGGCCAUUGGCCCGAGAUUUUGUUUCAUCAGUUUGCCUCCAAGUCAUCAAGCUUUUUAUUAGUGUGAAAAAUGCAUUAGAUAGUCCUUUUACUAUGCACGUAUUGCGGCGCAGUUUUUUUUUUUUUAUUCAUAUUUUUAUUGUGUGAAUUGCAUUAGAUAGCCCUUCUAUUAUUGAAUUGCGCACGAGUAUCUUAACAAUUUUAUUUUAAAAAAAAUAAAAAAACUUUUAAAAAAUAUUAUUCUAAUUAUAAAUAUUUAUAGAAAAAAUUUUGCAGGUCAUCCGUAUAUCUACCCAUCUAUUUCUGGGUGUGUAUGGAUAAAAAUGUGGGCUCUCGAAAAAUUUAUAGAUAAAUUUUAUCCGUGCUCCGCAUGAUCCUCAGGUAUAAUGACCGGUUCGCGAGUUGCGCGACCCGCCUGCUGAUCGCGCAUCUUGCUCAUUUAUUAGGUCUAAAUGUUUUUUUUUUUAAUUUCAUUUUCAUAAUAGUUUAAAUUUUAAUUAUAAAUAAUAUAAUAAUUAUUUUAAAUAAAGAUUAUAACAUGCCAACAAUUGGACUUCCCAUUUAGAAAAAAAAAAACAAGUUGUGAUUUCAACUUUCAUAUAUUAUUAUAUAAAUAGAUAAAGAUUAAAAAGCCUAUUUUUUUAUAUAUAUUACAUUUUAGUUCUUGAGGAUCAAAAAAUAAACUACUUUUACCUUACAAAAUAACCAGUUUAUCUCUUGUUAGUGCAACUCAUUUAUUUCGGUUCAUAAUUAUUACUUCACAUACGGUAAAAUAUUAUUUUUUUAUUCGUAAUAAAAAUUAAGAGCAUCUAAAUUGUGAAAUAUGAAAAAAAUAUUAUUAUUAUUAAAAUAUUAAAGUAAAUAAUAUAGAGACGCGGCAAUUGCGCAGCAGUUUGGUAGUGUCCAUAGAUUUUACUCUUUUCCUUAGGCAAAACUAGGGGUGGCUAAUCAGCUCGCUGUUCGGAGCCAGCUCCGUGUUCGGUGGCUUGAUAUGAGCUUGAGAUCGAAUCGUUUGUUUAGUAAACGAGCCGAACAUGAGCCGAAUUUUUCGCUCGUUUAUUAAACGAGCCGAACACAAGCUGGGGUCAGCUCACUCGUUAUUUAGCUCGAUAACAGCUCGAAUACAUAUAUUUUAUAUUUAUAUAAUUUAUUUAAUAUAUAUUUAUAUAUAAAUAAAUAAUUAUAUAUAUAAUAUAUAUAUUUAUUAUUUAAUUUUUAGCAAAAUAAAAAUAUAAGGAGCUUAAUUAUAUAAAAAAACAUUUAUAUAUAAAGUUUCAACUAGUAGAUCAAAAUUUAAUGGAUAAGAUUUUAUAAAUUUAUUUUUUAUAUAUAUUCAAUCUAAUCUUUUUAACUUAUUAUUCGUUGGCCAGGUCGUGAGCCAACUCGUGUUCGGCUCGUUUAUUAACGAACCGAACACGAACUGAAUUUUUUGGCUCGAUACUUUAACGAAUCAGCUCGUGUUCGGCUCAUUUAUUAAACGAGCGAACACGAGCCGACCCUAGUUCGCUCGUGUUCGGCUUGUUUACACCCUUAGCAAAACUGUAUAAAAGUUGCAUCAAGGCCCACUUUUUACUAUUUAUGAAAUAGGCCCUCUUAUAAUUUUUUCAUUUGAGAAACUUAGUUUGUACAAUAAAAAUUUUGGUAAAUUCAAAAGCUAAUUUAUUUUUUAAUAAUUAACUAUUCAAUUCUAUAAAGUAAUCUAGACUUUUGAUAAGAUUAUUGAUUAAUUUGAUCAAAAUUUUUUUAUUUUUUGCUAAAAUUUUAAUUUUUGUUUAGAAAAAAUAAAGUUGUGCUCAUGUUUAAAUUUAUUUGACCAAAAUUACUUAGUUUUUAUUUAAAUUUGAAAGUUUAGGCGGUCACAAUCCAAAAAGUUAAAAAGUUAAUUUAAUUUCUUAUUUCUAAAGAGUUAACAACUACUGUUGCACCGAGUUUAUUUGCUUUUUUGGGGAUUAAAAGAAAACUUUUUUAGAAGUACUAGGACUAUUAAUGUUGGAAUUAAUUAAAAGUACGAGAACCAGAAUAAAACGUGGCUGAGUUCAGGGACUAAUGGUUCAAUUUACCAAGGAAAAUAGUUUGUGGGAAUUUCUGAACGUGCUAUAGUUGAGGGGCUACACAGACAUUUUGUUCGUUUUUAUUUUAUAAUAAUAAUAUAAUAAUAUAAUAAUAUAAUAAUAAUAAUGUAUGAUGUCCAGCAUCCGAAGUAACUUUCGGUCUCCUCCUCAUCUUCUUCCUCCGGCCAACGAGAAAGUGAAAAAGGGGGAAAAAAAAGAAAAGAAGCGAAAAGGAGAGAUCAAAACCCUAACCCUAGUUCUCCGAUCGAUUUCGCCAUGGCGUCGAGUGGAUCCUCAGGGCGAGCCCCAUCGGGCUCCCGAUCCUUCGACUUCGGCUCCGACGACGUGCUCGGCGCCUACGACGACUACGCGAGCAACGAUCCCUCCAACGGGAAGCGAUUGGAUCCCUCGGGAAAGGUAUCGCCUCCUCUCUCUCCUCUUCGAUCCUUUUGAUUCGUUUGUUUACUGAGUUUACUGCCGGUUUAAAUUCGAUCCUUUGUGCCAGGUUGGGGUUUAGAUCGCUUGAGAUGAUUGUUCUGAUCUCAGAUUAGGGAUUUGGUCGGUUUUUUGAUGAAUUUGGGAUUCGUCAUGUCCGUACUAGUCGUAAUUGGAUUUUUUUUUCAGAAUUAGCAAUAAUGAUCUCAUUUAAUGCAUAGUACAUCUAGGAUUCAUUGUAUCUUUAGCGGAAAAAGAAAAUUUACGAUGGGGAAAUUGUGAUUUGGAAAAGAUUUUUGCACUUUUGGCGCUCUGGGAAUGAUAUUUCAGUAUUAGAGUGUCAUUAGUCUUCAACAUGCUUUAAGGCUCUGUAUUCAGUUUUACUGAUUUCCGUUUGAACGUAUUGCAUGCCAUGGUCAGCUAUCGUUCUUUGAGAUACUUUUGGUACCACACUAUUAUUUAAUUUGGUGUUUCAUCUACCAUUCGGUGAAGGAACCAUUUAUGACCUAAAGUGUUUAUAUUAGCUUCCUUUUGCGUAAGUAUAUAUAUAUAUAUAUAUAUAUAUAUAUAUAUAUAUAUGUCGCAAAUCUUUAACAUUUUCAUUUAGGAAAUGGAUAUUGUUAGAUUAUACUACAAAGUUGAGAAUUCAAUUUAUGGGAAGACAUGAAAUACCUCCAUGAAAAUCGGUAAAAAAUCAUUUAUUUCCUCAUUCUUUAAGCCUCAAUCACUCCCUUAGAUUUCCCAGAGGAUUACUCGAAUUAAUUGCAAAAGUACCUUUUUACCUCUUUGUGAUCUAACUCCAAAUUGCUUUUUAGCCAUCAACACCGAAUCCUCCAGUAGAAUAGCCGGACCCCACCAGAAACUCUCUCCUCUUCUAUUUUUGUGCCUUUGCUUUCUUUGGUUCACAUUUUGGGUGCAAAUGAGUAACAAUUAGAGAGAUGAAGAGAGAAAGAAGAAAUGAAGGGUGUAAAUGUUUUAUAUUCUUAAUGGAAUAUUGACAAAAGGGACAAAAGGGACCUAAAAAAAGUGAUUAUUGUUCAAUAUUCAAGCAGCUAUUUUUUUGUUUUCUUAAAAACUCAAAGGUGCAGUGCUAUUCAACCAAUUUGUUUGGAAAUACGAUGCAUUUAAGCCUUUUUUGGGUGGCUAGAAAAUGUUUUGACUUCUUACCAGGAAAUACCUUUGUUUCUAGGCUAAAAUUAGGCAAACCUCAUGCAGUGUGAGUUUCAAGUUUAAAUUUAGACAAUCCCUUUGUCUCGGUUCCUCAUAUUGCUUGCCCAUCCAGGCACUUUAUGAUAAGAUGCUUCCAAAUCAAUUGGACAGUGGAUACAUAAAACAAUAGAACUUAACACAUUAUGCAAAUUGUAAUGCCAUGCUCUGAGUUGAGGUUUUCUUUUUUCCUUCCUUUGAGGUUCAGAGAAUAUGUCCAAGUUCAGCCAGAACUAUAUAUAUAUCUGCAAACCCUUGCUUGGUAAACCAAACAAAAGCCCGAGUUUCAUUUAUGCCUGAUAAUCUUACCAAACCAUGACAUAUCCUUCUUGUUGUUUUUAACAAAUGGAUUUUCACAAUUAACUAAAUCGUUACUUCUUAAAUCUUUUAAGAAACUUUUAAAAACUAUUUAAAUGUUAUGUUUAUGCUUGCAGGACCUUUUAUGCAUAUAAAUGGCAGAAUGUGCAUGCUCCUGCCUGUUUUGUGGGCCAAUGUACCCCUUUUUUUCAAUAAUAUGCUGCGGGUGCAUGCAUAUUUUGUUCUCUAGGUUUUAUAGAUAUGCAUUUUACACUCUAGUUUGUGUACUUGCUCUAUCUUGUGUGUAUACUGUUUAUGUUGUCACUUGUCAGACAGUUUGCACUAUAUGGGAUUAAAAUAUAUUUGGCUUUUUUGCUUUAACUAUGAAUUAGAUGCAUAAGAAAAAUCCCCAAAUCUUAGAUUAUUUUUACAUCUGAAAGAUUAUUUUUACGUCUGAAAGACCUUUUUCUAUGGGCUGCUGUGGGUAACAUGAGCACAAUUUGCAAUGGAUAAGGUAGACUAUCUACUAACUAGCCUUGUGACUUUUAUGCAAGUUUGUGGCAAGGUUUACAGUUGAUUGCAAAAACUUUACCAACUUCUAUGGUAUCUUCUUAUCUGUGAGUUUCGCUUGAGCAUAUUGUUAAGAAAAGAACAAUACUUGGAUGAUCUUGAUGAUACGAGAUGUUGCUCUAAAUAGGCUCGAAGCCAGGGCAGUGGUGGCAUUGAUCUGAUAAUGGACUGCAUAAGAACUGAAUUUUCAAACUGUGCCUGUCCUUGAACAUUAAAACAAGGCUUGGCCAAAGCCAGUUCAAACUUGUCUUGCUUAAUUUGAUUACAGCUGCAAUCUCUCUCCCAUAUUUUUCUUUCUUUUCUAAUUUUUUUUAUUUUUUAUAUUUAUUUUAAUUUAUGUUAAUUAUCUUGAAUUAAAUCAUGCACUAAACAAGUGGUUAAUCUCACAUAUGCUUGAGUAUAUGUUUAGCUCAGCCUUGUUUCAAUUCUUCUGCAGGAUCUCCAUGAUAGCAGAAUGGGGAGACCAUUGGUAAAUAUAUACGAACAUGAAAAUUACUCCAAGGAGGAGAUAAUAUCUGCUGUUGAGAAGUGCAUGAAGAAGUAUGCUGAUAAUCUGCUCCGAUCUCUUGAGGGAAUUGGAGGGCGCCUGUCGCAGCUGGAGAUUCACUGCUAUAAGCUUGAGAGAUCAAUAGGUGAACUUCGAAAUGAUUUUAGUAGGGAUCAGAGUGAAACAGAUCUGAAGUACAAGUCUCUAGAGAAGCAUCUUCAAGAAGUAAGUUUAUUCCUGAUUUAAUAGUAACAUAGUUAUCAUUCUUUUGAAUGCUAGAGGAUCCUUGUUAAAAAAAAUUUUCCUGCAUGACAAAAGAAAUGUGCAUUUUGUUACUUUUCUUUGUUUCUUGUGAACUUCUUGAAUUCUUUUGAAUUUAAAAUGGGCCUAUGAAACAUCUCUAUCAGAAGAUUAACCUUUUAGGAUAAUUUACUUGUUCUUUUAUUCAGAUAAAGACAUCAGGAUUGUCAGUAAGAAGCAUUCCCAGUGUUAUGAUGAUGGAAAACAUUGUAUUAGUUAAGAGUUAAAGAUAUUCGUUAAUGCAAAAACUAAUUUCUGCCGAUAUUUAGUGCAUAUAUUUUCUCACAUUGUAACCCUAUCUUUUAUGUGUUAUUUGGUCAAGAAUUUGUUCUAUUUGUCAUGUUAGAGUUCUUCAUGCGAUUUGGAAAAAAUAAAUGAAUAAAUAAAUAAAUAAAAGAACGUUUAGACUGUAUGCUAUUGUAUGAAAAAGUAAAAGGUUAAAUGUUUGAAGCAUGUGCACUUUACGAGUAUGAAACAAAUCAGAUUCUAUGUAAGUUCUCCUCUGGGGUAGCUGAUGUAUUUAGUUUUGAAGUGUGCCGGUAUUUGACAAGGUAUCCGUUGGCAUGUUGGAUGUUCAUUCUCCUUCUGGUCAAUAGCUGUGAAGGAUAUCUUGUUAUUUUUGUAUAUUUCUCUUACGCUGUGCUUGCUUUGGAGAUACAUUCUGCAUGCUGGCUUAUUUUAUCAUUCAACUCUAGAUUAUGACUUGAUGAAGUUUUGAAAGGAUAAUAUUUGUGAGGAAUCCUAGCUAAUAAGAAUUCUAUUUAAUUAAAACUGGUGGUCCGGAGCUGUUUAUAUAUGACAUUCCCCACAAAAUGGAUUUUAAGGGCUGAUCCAUAGGAUUUACUUCAGUGAAAAACAAUAAAUAGCGUCCCUUAUCUUGGUUGCAAGACAUCUCUUUUCUUCUAUCCUUCUUCCAACUUCUUUAAUUAUCUUCGAAAUUACAUCUUGUCUCUUUAUUUUUCUUCCAUUAUGCUGGAAAUUGUAACUUUCAGCAGAAUUUCCUACAGUGAAACUACAAUCUGCAAACUUUCUUCAUUCAUUUUGGCAGUGCUAUAUUAAUGCAGAAAAUGUACUUUCUGCUAUUCAAUAUCCUUUUAGACCCGCUUCACAUGAUGACAUUGUGAUAUAAUAUGUACAGCAAGGACCGAUAGAAAAAGUGAUUCAAAGUGUAAAUGGCUUUGGAGUAGGCCCUUUCUGUGUAAGAAAAUAGUCUGUUUUUCAGAUGAUAUGCAAAGUUUGUAGAUUAAAUCAGUUUGCCAGUCUUUUUCUCGAUUUUUGGUUUCAUCUGAUUUCUUGUUUUGGGUCCUUUCAGCACUAUUGGCUUAUUGGCAAUUCACUAUACUAACAGCGAGCUAAACCUAUUUGUUUGAAUAAGAAUUAACAAUGUCAAGUUUUCAUUCUUUAGGGAGAGAAUAGGGUACUAUCCUAUCACAUGUCUAUUUUUUAGUUUUUUCCAUGUGCUAUCAGUUUAGUUAGGUUUGGACUCUUGCUGAUACGGUUGUAUCAUUUACACAUGAAUUCUAGUAGUCUUCUAUGAAGCUCUGUUCUUUCGUGCAGAUUUCUAUGCAGAAAAUAGACUUAUUUUAUAUGAUUAUACAGUGCAUUUGUCAACUCAACAUCACUCUAUUUCUUAAUGUCUUUGAUAUCUUUCCUCUACUGAAUAUAUUUUAGUGGUAGAUCAUGGUAAAUACAAUCUUGAAUGUCCCCUUCUCUAUCUUGAUCGUCUCCUCCUUUUAACUUCAAGUGAUGUUUUGUAUGCCAUGAAAUAAUCGUGUAGUUACUUAUCACUGUUUUCGAAUAACAUCUUGUUUGCAAUUGUUGAUCCUGAUUUGGAUAAAGAAUUAAAGAUCAGCAGACAUAUUACAGCGUGCAUAGGAAUCCCUGCACAUUUUGGUCGUUAUGCAGAUAACCUUUGCUCUGUUUGCUCUGGUAGUACAUUUACAUCAUGGUGGGUUUGCAUAUCUUAUCAAGUGAAAAACAUUGCUAGUAUUAUUGGUUGGCUGUAGCAUUUAAAGGAGCUAAUGGAGAACCAGCAAAUUUCACUCGGAUUAUAUUAUUGAAAAUAUAUAUAUCGAGAUCAAUAACUCUGAUCUUAAAUUGGAGAACCCGAUGUUCUAUUUUAGGAGAUCUUUCGACUUUGACCGUUUAUUGUAUACUCACUUGCUGGACUAUAUAUUUUAAAAAAUUGCAAAAUUCAGUUUCUAGGUAUUUCAAAUGUGUUAGAUCAUGUUUAAGCAUAUAGAUCAUCGAUUUAGACGCUUUAUCAUCGAAACAACUUCUGAGUACGAAAGCUUUCCGUACUUUAGCAUUACUCUCUCUCUCCGGUCUCUUCUGCUCUGCUCUCUCUCUCUGGUAAUAUAUAGUAUAUAUAUAUAUAUAAGCGUGAGAUAUGUUUAAAAUGCACGAAACAUUCGUGGCGUAUUAUAAGUUUUUAGCCUUUGGAUCGACUCUUUUGGUCAUUGUUGUGAUUAUUUGUAGGGCCCACCAUUGUGCAUGAUUCAGUGGCUGCUAGGGUUUAUCAAUGGCCAAAAUGAGGCUAUAGCACCAAUACCUUGGUGCUUCUAAGAGCACUCCAGCUGGACUAUAUAUUUGUAUUUAUACAUGUGUGUGUGUGUGUGUGUGUGUUUGUGUGUGUGUAGGCUAGAGCUACUAUCCUCUUAUGAGUAUAAGCCUCUUUGUACUCAUGAGUUUUCGGCCAUUGGAUGAAGAUAUGUGCGGUUAGAAUGAUAGUGAUCCCCGGUUAGGAUGAUGGUGGUCUCUUAGGGUUGAGUUAGUUGGUUGAAUAGUAUAAUCUAAUGUGUGGAAAUAAUCAAAUGAGUAGAUCUAACGGCCAAAAACUUACAAGUACAAAGAGGCUUGUACUCAUAAAAGUAUAGUAGCUGGUCUCUCUCUCUCUCUCUCUCUCUCUCUAUAUAUAUAUAUAUAUAUAUAUAUAAUUCACAGGGAUUGAACACUUGAUUGCAGCCGAUACAAGCUGAAGAUAGUACGAUAACUAUGUUAUGACUCUGGGCUUUUAGUAUAUUGUUUUUCUGCUAAUCAUUUUGUACAAGUAUAAAUGCAUUGAACUAUUAAAAGCUUUUCGCUUUGUUGUUGUAAAAUAAUCAUAUUCUGUGUGCUUGUGUAACUAAAAGAACUUCCAGCUAUGUCUUUCAUUGAAGGUUUCCUUCCUUGGUAUGCUUGUAAAGGCCAAUAGCCUUAUUAGUUCCAGUAUCAAGAUUUAUAGGCCUACAAGCCAAAAAUUAUACUUAGACGAAAAUUAUGAGCUUGAUCUAGUUCUUUAGAAAUUACUAAUUUAUGUUCUGUAAAGAAGUUUGUGUCAUCUUUACUGACUAAACUUUUCUUUCCCUCAUUUAGAUUUUUAAGGGAUGUGAAUUAACAUCUCUUGAUUCUAUACCUUUGGAUACCAGGUUCACAGGUCCAUCCAGAUCCUGAGGGACAAGCAAGAAAUUGCUGAAACCCAGAAGGAACUAGCCAAACUCCAACUCGCACACAAGGAAUCUGCUCAAAAGACUGAAGAGGCCAUUGCACCACCAUCAGCAUCUGAGCCGAAGAAGCAGCAUGACGACAAGCCAGAAGCAUCAAACCAACAUCUAGCCCUCGUGCUAUCUCGCCAGGCAACUGUACCCCACUCACUCCCACCGAGAGCUUCCGAUCCAAUCCAACCCUACAAGGAACCGACUUUACAGCAGACCAUACCCGCUCAUUUGGGCCCGCAACAGGAUCGUUAUAUUCUCAACCAAGCGAGUGCUUACUACCCGCAGAGCCAACCGAUGCAACCUGAGCUACAAUACAUUCAAACCAGGCCGCCACAAACUCAAGAUAUUCCGGUCCCACUGCCACCUCAGCAGCCUUCCCAAGUAAUUAGUCAGGCUCAAACACAGACUUUCCCUCAAUAUCACCAGCAGCAAUGGCCUCAGCCGCCCUCUCAGCAAUUUCCCCCGCAGGUGAUGCAGCCUCAACAACCUAACCCUAAUCAGUUACCCCCACAGGUGGUACAGCAGCACCAAUCUGCACCACAGACUNACAACUUUAAAUUUUAAAUUUUAUAUAUAAAUUUUAAAUUUUAAAUUUUAAAUCUAAUUUAUAUAUAUCUAAUUUUAUUUAUAAAUCUAUAUUUAUUUACUAUAUAUAAUUUUUAUAUUUAAUUUUUUAAUGCUUAAAAUUUUAAAUUAGAUUUAAAAAUUAAAAUAUUAAAAAUAUUAUUUAAAAUAUGUUAAAAAUUACGUAAAUUUUCCGCCGCGAAGCGCGGGCCUACACUAGUAUAUAUAAU